rnacentral:lncRNA from 1 species
UUUUUUGUUUUGCUUCCCAAGCCGUUACGGUCCGUUGGACAUGUAUGUGGAUUAUGUUGUUUCUGGACAGUUUUGGUCCAAUGUGUGACCUAUAGCUCAUGUUUUCUAGUUGUCCUAUUCGCUCCGGAUAUUUUUGAGGAGUCAGAGUGUUUUGAUGGGAUUUUCUCAUGGUUUAUGGUUGCAAAUGUUAUUCCAAGCUGUUGUUGAAGGUGUCCAUAAAUAUCUUAGUUCUACAAAAAAAAUUUGGCUCGUGCUCAAUCUUUUUUUGUCUCGCAUGUCAUUAUAGCUCACUCGAACGUGCCUGUGGUUUCUUGUGUUUUGGCCUUUUGGGGCUGUUUUGGUCCAAUGCGUUAGCAGUGAGCUAUAGCUCAUAUUUUUUUGGUUUUCAUCUAUCUUUGCUUUGGAUUUAUUGGAGUCAAUUUUUUUAAUUUGGACUUUUAUCAAAAAAAAAGAGUGCUAUAGCUCAUGGUUUACGGCCACAAAUAACUUUUCAUGGCUAUUGAAGAUGUCCAUGGAUAUCUUCAUUCUGUAGAAUUUUUGGCUCAAAGGACGACCUAUAGCUCGUAUUUUUUUCUUUUUGAAAUGAACUGGCAUAAGAGCUGCCUGUUCGUUGCAAGGUCUAUCAAACAUGUUUGUGGAUUUUUUUUUUUUUUGUUCUUGGUAAUAUUUUUUUUUGCUCAAUGCGUGAGCUAUAACUCUUGUUUUUGGUCUUUCUAUUCUUUCUGGUUUUGUUGGGGGAGUAGCAUUUGUGAAUCUGAGUAAACUGUGGACCUGGUGCUGCUGAUGCAAGGGCUUGUUUUCACUUUGUGAUAAAAUAAAAUACAACGCAAACUACACAAAAGCAAACCAGUUUUAUGUAUUCAUCACUCUGGACUGACCAUUACAAAGACACAUGCGCACAUACAGAGAUGCGUACAUGGUUUAAUUUGUAACGAUCAACACACACACACAUACAUGAGCGCAAGGUAGCAAACCACACACAUGCAUGCUGGAGAUGGAGCCAAACCGAUACACAUGAAUUUCGCUCAUCCUUAUUGUUGUCAAUCAAUCAUCACACACAAGCAGAGUAGCAGCAUGCAUCCAACUCCAACGAAGGCAAUCAGCAGUUACAGGGGUUGCACUUGCAGUUGUCACCGCAGCUGCAGCCGUGGGCGGUCUCGCCGGACUCCGCCGCCUCCUCGAACUGGGCCUUCUUCUCCGGGGCCACGCCGAGGACGACGGUGGCCUGGGCGGCGCUGCUCUUCUCCUCCAGGUCAGGGUACAUCUUGCUGCAACAAGUAGUGAACGCCAAAUUUUAGUAGUCUGUUGACAGCAGCAACAAGGAACUACGAACAGAUCGAUUAUUCUUCAGUCGACGACGCUUGAGUAUCUUGUUAAUCGAUAUCACAACGAACGAGAAGAAUAGAAUGAUGGAAUGAUUUAAUUUCCGUCAAAGAAAGGAGAUCAUGGAAUCUUAGAAGUAUUUGCAAGAAGCAUCAGCAAAGAAUAGAAUGAUGGAGAUGCAUAUAUUACGUACCCGCACUUGCAGCUCGAGCCGCAGUUGCAGCUUGAUCCGCAGCUGCAAGACAUCUUCAAGAAGCUGAAAACUCGGUGUGGAUGGAAAACAAGUGCUUUGAGAUUGCUUGAGCACACUGAACUGAAGAGACCCAACCCCAACACCGCCUUUUAUAGCAGUGGAUGGAUGGAUGGAUGGAUGGAUGGAAUUAUUGCCUUGUGUGUACGUCCUUGUCUUCCAAUUUGAAAGUAACCGUAUCGGAAGAAAAUGCGCCCGGUUGCUUUCUGCAGACAGAGUCACACAAUAAGGUAAUAAGGCGUGCUUGACUUGUCUUCCCAUCUCAUGGACAUCAUUGACACACACCAGCACGUUUAUCAAUUCACAAGGAUGCAAAGACCCAAUAAUUCCUUGCCGGCAAGAAAUGUGCCUCCUUUGUUCCUUCUCGAAUUUUUCCUUUCCAAUUCAAAGCAGGUUGCUUUCAGAUACUCAAUAUUUGUUCCAGGACACACUUGUUAGAACAAGCUAGGUACUUGAUGGCUUUAGAAAUAUCUGUAUGUAAGUUAUUAUUGCAAGAACAAGUACUUUCUUCUUUUGUUAUUUCCUUAAUAUUAGAAUUAAUGUAAGCUGUCUGUAUCAUCUGCUUUGACUGAGACAACAAUAAAACACCAUCAUAUAUGUCCAGCACGUCAGUAAUCUAGAUGGGGAUUCCCGCUUCGAUGAGGGGCUUAAGAAAUGUUACCACUUCACGUUAACAAAGGCUCUGUCACAUCAUCCUUGUUACUUCAUUGUUCAAGGAACCUAAAACAAUGUUCAUCAACUUGAAUCGGAUAACACCAAAUUGGAUCAUAAGUAUUAAUUUUGUCAUGUACGGUCACACACGGAGCGUGUUUUGUCAUGACGGCAGGCUACAUGGACUGCAGUUUGGAUCAUAAGUAUUAAUUUUGAGGAGGUGGAGAGGAAAAUGCAAAAUUGUUGCUCGAACCUCUGCUUGUCCCCCUGCUGUCUUAGGGCCAAAGGGGGCGUUAUGAUGCGUAUGGAGACAGGACAGGUCCCUGCCGUGUGAAUGUAUAACACAUGUAUCUUAGAUCUACCUGAGCAAAAUACGGGUAGGGCCAGACGGCAAAUAGCCCAGAAUGUUUCGGGCCAAAAAACAUGACAAGCCCGCCCAUGAAUAGCUUUCAAGCCAGCCUUUUCGAGCUUUUUCGGGCUGGGCUCGGGCCGAGCUGGGCCACUCGGUCUUUUAUUAGUUGGAAAAUAAAUCAAAAAAUAAUCGGGCCGGGCUUGGCUCGCUUGGAUUUUUUUUGGGCUGGCAAAAUGCGCGCCACGGCCGGCCCUAUAAAAGCCACAGGUCGGGCUUAGUUGAGGGCAUGAUUAAACAUUUUGGCUGGAUCACCGUUUGAUUUCGGCUAAUAUGUUCCUGCUACACACAUCAGCCCAAAUUAAGGAAAAUGGAUCCACAAAAUAGUGGGAUGGUUCUAAACAAUUCGAUUGUUAUCUCUAAAACUGUUCGCAUGGUUCAAAUUUCAGAAUAUGCAAGGACCAGGAAAAGCACGCUAUUGCACCCUCCAAGGGCUGCAAAGUGGUAUUUAGAUAUCGGAAUUAUCCGAAUUCGUAUAUGCUAAAAUGUGAUAUAUGGAUAUCCGUAUCUGCAUUCGUUUUUAAUAUUUUGUAAUGUGGCAAGCUUAAGUGGAUACAUUCGAAUUCAUUUUCUAUUAUCCGAAUUCGUAUUCAUAUUCGAAAUAAAUGUGGAAGUGGAUGAAUACCCGAUAUUAUCCGCAUUCGUAUAGCAUAACCACUUCUCUAAAUCAUAAUAUAUAUAUAUAUUGUUAUGAUUUAUUUUCAAACUAAUAUAUUUUUUGGUUUAAAUUACUUCAAAUAAUUUAUUUUAUAAUUUUUAUAAGCUUUUAUUUAAUUAUUAAUAUAUAUUAAUUUAUUAUAAUAGUUUUAUAAAACUAUUUUCAAUAAAUAAUCUUUUUUCUAAAUGUUAUGUUUGAUCUAUACACAUAAUUGUAUGUUCUUCCAGAACUAUUAAUAAAGCGAGUGAAUAUUUGGUAAUUGCGAUCACCCAAAUUAAGUGGAACAGAAAUCCGAAUUCGAGCUAUCUGUUUUGCCUUCGCAUUCGACAACAUCCGAAUCCAAGUUCGUAUUAAAAAUGUGAUGAAAAGUGCUAUCCGAAUCCGAAUCCGAUACGAUUUCCAUUCCUACACCCUCCCAUACUAGAUACAUCAGCAUUCGAACUGAUGGACCUGUGGUUCCAUAGUCAACAACAUUUUGAUGGGCAAUAGAUACCUUUGGGCUUGCUUUGGCUGUCGUCGUGUGGGGGAAGCAGAGCGCAUGAGGCCGCCGUGGCCACCUGGCCCGGAGCCAAUACACACACAAUGUGGACUGAAUUGAUCAAAUCUUUGGGCAGGAUGGAGAAUUCCGCUGCAGCCCAUGGGCUUCUUAUUGCGUCCUGCCGGCCCGCCCAACAACUUCCGUCACAACCUUUGCCUUGUACUCAAACUCAAGCAAAGGCGUUUCUCUUCAGGUAGGCCCAAUCCAAAAGAGAAGCAAAGCAAAGCAUGCGAGUGUAGUGUAGUACGAGGAGGGAACAAUCCAAUCCCAUCCACAUAAGCAAAGAGACUUUAUUUAGGCAAGGCAUAACGUACGUGAGGUAUAGAGCAGCUAGCUGAGAUGGUUCCAUUCGGAAUCUGAUCAAUCGAGCUCGAUCUGUUGCUUUUUCUACCGCUAAUUGCAUACUCGAGACUCAAGAGCACACAGCCCAGGACCCCAGCUGCCACCUGCGAAUUGAGGUGAUGACUCCUUAAGAUUAAUAAACUUUAGCUAGAUUUUAGGUCCAGUUUGAAUAUAGAUUGAUUAAUUGGCAAUUCAAAUUAUGAGGACUGCGGAUUAAUUUGUUCUGAUGGCAGUGCAGUUAAUUUGUGAUGAUUAAUUAUUUGUUUGUGUCGUAGGACCUACGCUAGCUCCAGCCAUGGUGGCCGUCCUGGAUGCUUACGUGAAGAAGCUCAUCACGGACAUGGCAGAAGAAGAGGUGUCCAUGCUGCUGGGAAUCUCCGGCGAGAUCAAUCAGCCAUGCUGGGGGUCACCAUGGUGGGGAGCAAGACAAGUCCAUGCUCGUGCAGACCCUAACCAACACCCUAUCUGCGACCAAGUACAGCUUACUCAAUUUUAGGUAAUACAAAAAAUAAAAAUAUGUUAUUAGGUCCAAAUAUGUUAAAAAAAAUUAAAUAGCAAUGGAUAGAUAGUUUGAAACUACUGCAUAUCAGAUUUUUUUAGUGCGCUUUUGGUGAAAUGAUGAAUACAAGAAGAUGAAACCUUCCGCUAGUUUUCUGCCUAUAUCAACCCAAAUCCAUGUAACCCAAUACAAUAAUGAAGUGAUGAAGUGACCGUACGUGCAGCAAACAUAUAUCUGUAGUGUAUUUACGGAAACAAGCAAAUCAAAGAGUUCAGAUAAUUGCAGUUUGAUGUCCUCACAAACUCCUGCUUGUCUAGGGGCAUAAGCACGUCCUGAAUUUCCUAUGCUUCCCACGCCUCUAUGGCAUGUGUUUCCUCUAACCAAUAAUGCAAGUACAGUGGACAGUUCCAAACAGAUAAGUCGCAUGGAUUUAUCUUCUGUUGUUGCCAUUGUUAUGGGUACGGUUGAUGUACGUGGACAGUACCUACCUCUCAACAACUAUUUUGUUUUCGAGAAACACCUAUCAAUAUAUUCUGUAAACUACUUUGUUCCAUCUAUACAUAAUACCCAACAGUAAACACAACAUCUAUGUGAGGUGCCACAGCCUUGAGGCCAGGCCAUGGACGCCUGCCACCUCUUUGAAUACAUUAUGGCCAAUACUUUCCAAGCCCAGCGAGCCCUAGAGCGUAGAGUCUUUCAUCAUUCUAGUGCUUCCAACUGGUACCUUGACAAAUAAGUGUUAGCCGUUCAUAGCAAACUAUCAUGUAGUUAUUACGAAGAAAUAUAAUGUCAAUUAUAGCAAUCAACAAAUGCUAUGAAGUAUGAUUAUAUUAGGUGUACAAAAUCAUAUGCCGAACUAGCAAAAAUCAAGCUUGAGGAACCGUGUGCUCUUCUGUGAGGUGCAUGGCAGAGGCAAUGCCUCAAUAAUAGCUUUAGGAUUAUUACAGUGACUUCCCUGAUGCUCUGCGCCAUUCUGAGAAGAUUCGACAAUGCCGACACAGGGGAAGUGGCUGCAGAACUCCUAGAAUGAGAUGUGUAGCACUACAUUGUUCGAAAAAAGUAGAGAACAAAAGGCAGGUGAAUAGAAAAGGCCAAAGUAAAAAAAAUGGAAUAAGAAUUAUUAGUAUUGAAGGGUGAAUUGUUCAGUUACAUAAGAUUUUGUUAAGUGAACAGUACUGUCCAUCACUCACUUGAUUUCUUCAAAGCAACUAGCCAAGCAACUGAGUUGAAAGCAAAGAGGCAUUACAGCAAGAUUCACCAUCACUAACAGCCAUAUAGCUGAAUCAUCUCCAUAUAUCUAGAAUUCUGGAUAUUGUAGUUUGAGAAGCCAGCAUGCUGCACCAACAUUUGUGUUUUCUGUUUCAUCAAAAAAAACAUUUGUGUUUUCUGAAGCAAAACCAUAAUGUCUAUUUACAUUACGCGUAUUGUACUAGCUAUGAGAAGUGAAUCUUUACCAGAAUUCCGGAAUUGGCAUCUCUCGUUGAACUUGGUUCCCUGCUGAUUUAGAAGCAUCUUCAAGUCUUUGGGGCAAAAUUGCAUGUUCAGAAAACCUCAAAUACAAUUAAACAUAUCAGACGAGCAACCAGUGUUCAUUAAGGCUCACUACCGUACUCCCCUGCAACUUGAGUGAGGCGGCAUGGAAAUAUUUAGCUGAUUCUGCUUACCCAUCUCCAAAUCAAAAUAACUGAACGUGAUUGGGAACAGGUGUUGCUAUAAUUCAUUAAUUUGAUUGCCUAUAGUGAGAGGCUGGAGUUCAGGCAUAGUUUCCUAAAGGUUGCUGGCACUUGUGAUGGAAUGAUAAUCUAGCCACUUUUUUCAGGUAUAGUUUUGUUAGGGAAAAAAUGUGUUGAAAAUUUAAAAUGCCCUUUUAAUGCAAUAAAUUUGUAGAUAUUUAUGUAUAUAUAGUUAUCUCAUUUAUUCUCCUUGGCAUGCUCGGUCUAUACCAAAACAACUGAACAUGGUAGGAAAAAGGUAUCGCCAAUUUGUUCAUUCGAUACUAGAGCACUCAAGGACACAAAAACUCUUUGGACUAGGGAAGGGCUGAGUAGGAGAACUCUAAUUUGGCAAUAUGUGUGUCCACGCCAAAAAGUUAGCAUCGAGAUGGACUGUCGCUAAGGGAGGACGUCACUUAGAUGCUCCUAAGUGGACACACAAGCAGCCGUAAUUCCCUAUGCCUCACAAGCCCAUUGCCAGUAGUUACUUCCAUUUGGAUAAAGACAACAAUAAUGCAAAGAAAUGAGCCACACAAAUUUUGAAUUCGGGUGUUGUUCGUUGUGGUUUUAUAGUGCGUAGGGCAUGGCUUAUGCUACUUACUAUGUCAAGAGCAAUGUUUUUACCUACCACUAUAUAAGUAUUCUGUCUACAUGUUCAUUUUAGAGAUGGAGAGGAGUCCUGGCACCAUUAGUUUUUUUAUCAGGAUGCCAUUGUCCACGUAUAUGUAUGUGCCUAUAUGACCGUACCGCACUUGCGCAGUUAUCUCUGCUCAUGAAAAUUGGCCUUAAUUCUCAUGAAUAACCAUCCAAGCGGACCUUCAAAAACUCCGACAAUGAGGGCAGCCAAGCAAGGUUUAGAAAAUGCAUUAUAAGAUGGUCUAUUUCUAAACUUUUCUUUGCCUUAUAUACUGAAAGUUGAUCUAUAUAUACAAGGUUCAUCAACUGAUCACUCACACAAUUAAUUGAGAUUAAAUUGUGAUAAACCAAGCUGCACACUUGAAUGAUAAACACAGAAUGGGACCUUAUAGAUUUCGUCCAAGAAAGAUUAGAAAAGGAAACUUAUUUUGUUACAGAUAACGUCAAGCUUAUAGAUGAAGCAUCGACAUAUAUGGUUAAAAGCUAUAGUUUGAACAACCCGUGUGGUGCCAACAUGUGCCAUCUAUCCACCAAAAUUACAACAUUGUACUAACUAAUAAGCAAAUUUAAGUGAAACUUUACUCUAAUCUAGGAAUUUUCAUAUCUUUGAGCUUUUCUUCAUUCUAAGCUGAUUUCAAUGGAUCUAUCAUCUUAUAACCAAAACUUAAUUAAGUAGAGUGGAGAUUCGAAUUCAACUUGCAUAUUGUAGCUUCAUAAUAAUAAACAUUGACAGCUCUUAAAAUAAACAAUUUCUGGUUACGGCAAAAAAAUGUGUCCAAACCUCAAUAUACCAUUUGACUGGAAUCGAAUAGUAUAUGGAUACUUACGAAUAGUAUAUGCAUACUUACGUACAUUUAAUUACACUCAUUAUUAGCUCUUUAUGAAGAACAAAUUAUUGACUAGCCAUCCUCCUCACCUAGCUCGAUCCAUGUCAAAGCAACUGAAACAGAAUGGGGAUACGGGGCACUAGACUGCUUUCUAUACACAACAGCUGAACUCGCUAAGCCUGCAGCGAAACUCAUAGGAAAACUCUAAUAUGUCCAUAUGCAUGGCCACACCAAAAAGAUACUGCUGGUGGACACCAAAAAGGAAAAGUCGCUCUUGUUUGUCAAACUCCAGUGUGGACCCACCAACAGCCACGAUUCCCAACGCUUCCCAAUCCUGUGGCUUGAUCUUGUUCAUACAUUGCAUGCAUUGAAAAUGCAGAGAGGUGAUUAUAAAGAAACAAGACACACAUGUUUUGACUUGUGCUAUUUUUCUUUUUGUUUGUGAGGACUUGUGCUGGUUUUUCUACUGCUGGUGGUUUUAUAACUGUGGACCGCACGGCUUUGCUGCUUGGUGCGAGCAAGGGCAAUGUUGUUUACCUACCCGGGGACAAGUUGGUCAUUUCUAAUUACAAGGAACAGGACAAGUAACUGAAUGGAACUUUUUCCAUACUUGAUCAAGAUGUUGUGGGCCACAUUAUCCGGGCAUAUCUCUAUCUCAUCAUCAAAUUGUUUUGUGUGAAGGCAAUAACGGUUUCCACUCAGCCCGCAGUUGGAGGCCCAUCCGAGGUCUAGUAAAAUGGAUGGAUGCACCAUGGCCCAUGGACGAGCCAACGGUGAAAAUUCUCAUAUCAAAGGUUAAAAGGACAGCAUUGGUUAGGAUGGAUCACCGCUGGUUGACAGCAUCAGGAUGCGCGCGCACACACAGUAAGUAGAAGGUAUCAGCAGUGGCAGCCCACCACUAAUCCCCGUGCCUGAGCCUUACCGUACGCUCUCUCACGUGUCCUAUGUGCGACUCUCUUCUCAAUUCUAUGUUUAACUCAUAAGAAAAAAAAAGUCCAUUUUACUCCCUCCCUCACCUAUUUACUUCCCUCACCUAUUUACUUUGUUCGUCCCACCCCUAAUCAAAAUUUAGCUUAAUUUUCUCCCUCAUCGUAAUGAUACGGGCUUAAAUCAACCCCGAAGCAGUAGUUAGGGCACGUACAACAGCGAGCCGGCUGCCGUCUGCGUGCAUCCACAUCAGCAUUUUGUCCUCCGUGGUAUGCAUUAACUGAAGAAAGAGAGGGUCGCCGUCAUCUCGUUCAUCUACGGAAGGAGCUCGUGCUCCCACGCCUAGCGAUGACACCCGAGACGCGUUGUGCGACGCGUUGCCACUCGUCGACGGCGGAGAGGAUCUGCUGCGUGCAGCCAACCCCCCCCCCCCCCCUCCCGCACACGCGCCUUCUCUACCCCCUCCGGCGGCGCAACCCUAGUAGCGGCGGCGGUGGCAAUGCAGCAGGAAGAGAAGCAGGCUGCGGCUGCGGCUGCGGCGCGAGAGCUCGUCAAGGCGGAGUCGUCUCGGCAGCGGAUUCGCGCGUUCCCCAACCUUGCUCGCCCCGCCGUCCGCCAUCCGUAGUCCGCCACCCCGCCGUACUACGUCCCGCUCGAGGACUCGAAGAAGCACAAGGUCGAGUACGAGGUGAGGGACGGGUGGAUCAGAGCUGCUUUCGGCCCGAAUCUUGAUUCUGUGUUUGGGUUUCUUGAUUCGGUUUCUUGCUGACCCGCAGGUGCACCGGCUGGUCGUCAAUCGGGACCCCAAGUUCACCAAUUUCGUCGAGGUAAUCCGGGAUUCCUGGAUCUUUCCAAUUUCUUCUUAGAAUACUUUGCAACUUCUGAAAUGGUCCGCCGUCUCCGCUCCUCGAUCUGUCGCAGGUGCUGCCUCAACCACGCCCUAUGUGUUCCGAUUCCCCCUACCUCUAUUGUACCACCUCUGUGAGACGCGGUGGCUGGUGGAAGCCCGUCGUGGAAGGCGCGAGUGCGGAAGGCGUGGCACCGGCGAGCGGAGAAGCCGCCAUGGGCGGAGAGCGAGGUGGCUGACGCGGGUGGGAGGCGAAGCGGCCAAUGCUGAAGAGUGGAGGAGUAUAUGGAGAACGCUCCGGAGGCCGACCUCGCCGCUGAGGCCACGUGCAGGGGCAGCGGCGUGGCGCCCCGCUCCGGCCACCGCCCGCGCCCAAUCCCCCUCCUUCGCCUCUCUGUUCCGAAGAAAGGAGAAGCUUUUCCCUUUAACCUCCUCCCUUCCCUCCUUUUUCCACCCGAGCCCCCCACCCCCCUCCUCUUCAUAAUUUGGACGGUGGGUUGAUUAUAUGAAAGUUGAGGGACUUUUUUGCAAAAUUACCAUGACAUUCGGAAAAACUGAGCAGAAACCUUGCUUUCAUAUUAGGUAGAGAUAAAAGAAAAAACACAGCAUGACACAAAUAUCAAAAUCAGACGUGAAGAAUCCUAUUAUAACAGUGGCAUUGUCAUGGCUGUAUCCCAAGUAGAUUUAAAUAAAAGGGGUAACAGAGGAACGUCAGAUGGCAUAUAGAACUCCCUGUCCUGCAAAGUUAAAUCAAAAUGCCUCUGGCUGGUUUCAACUCUUAGGGAUAGCCGGACAGGAGCUUAUGAAGACUGUGCAGUUUCUAGAAGGCGAUACAUCGUGAUCUCUUUGUUGCUUGAAGUACCUCCGGUCUUCCUCAUCAACAAGGACCAGGUUCAGCUAGUACUUUGACACUGAACUUGUUGUUUAUAUUACGGUAAGUCGGGUCACACCUCAUACGGAGUCAAGAAUAAUCUCACUGGAAUGGAUUCUCCUGCACAAUAAUCAUUCUUGAUAACCUCAGAACCAAGUGGAGAAUUUCACAGUUACGAAGUCAACCAAGUGACAGCAAGUUUGACUAUGUUAUGCACGCCUUUAAAAAUUCAAGAGGGCAAAAAUAUGAGUAAUACCUCUAACUAGGGCACCAUCCAUCAUCUCAAAUUUCGCUAGUGUCUCAGUCUCAACAUAUGUGUUUGGACCAGAUCCAGUAGAUUCACGGCGACGAAUCUCAAGCUCCAUGUUCUUUAUUCUGACUAGAAGAAAAUAGUAAGGCUAGAAUUAGAAUAAGCCGUAUAAUUGAGGACACACCUUGAUGCUGUUGUUGAUUGUAGGAACAGGAGAGUAGUUUAUUACCUGAAAAAAACAAACACUAACUUCAAAUCUGAAUAAAUCCCUAGGAACCAUUUCAAGAACAACUCAAAAAGGGUAAAGUACAUGGGAAAAACAGAUAUGUUGUGUGGCAUUUAAUCUGCCAGAGACGACUCAAAUUAAGACCCAAAUGGUUCAAAGGUAAAGUUAUUGCACUCACCCACACAAAUAAAAGAUCGAUGAUAUUUAGUCCACACUUACACAGAAGUCCCGCGAUUCCACAAUAUUGCCAACAUAAUUUCUUCCAAUUGUUACUUUCAGGAUGUAUCUGCAAUAUAAACUUCACCCUUUAGAGACAAUGUUAUGAGAGUUGCUGAUGCUGCACAUCAUGCCAGCUAGUUUUAGGAUCACCUGUGCAAAUCAUACAAGAAGCAACAUAAGAUGUCUGCCUCACCUCAGUCUGACAUUCGUUCCGCUAUAUGACUCAUAUGGCAUUUCAACAGUAGAAAACUCAAAUGGAAAAGUCUUUCUUUCAUAGAUUUCACCAGGAACAUCUAAUUCACGCACUGCAUAGAUAAAACAGGCACUGCAUGGGAUGAGAUAGACGUACAGAGAAACAGUGAGCUAGCUCCAAAACAAUAAGGGCAUAUAUGUAAUCAUUUUAGUAAAGGAGAAACGGGGACAUGAUUUGAACAAAGCUAAGUUAUAAUGAGUGCUAGUAGCCCCUUCAAAAAUAAUGAGUGCUAGUACAACAAAAUAAAGACGGAACAGGCAACAAGAGUUUGAGGCAACAGCUACAUGAACAUCUUGAAGAAAUGGUGUUAUUGGACAACUGUGUAUUAAAAAUCAGUUAAAGUAAGAAUCUACCUAAAGUGAAGUCAUAGAAGUUGCCUCUGUCGAAAUAUAGCUCUGUAGUAGAAACAAUCACAGACAAAAAAAAGUUAGGACCUACCAAGAUCUAAAGUAUCAAACAGCAGUGGUCUAUUUUAUUAUCGGACAAAAAUAAACAAUACACGGAGAAGUUUUCACUUCUCAGCAGCACUUAUUGGUUUUUCUCGUCCUUCCUAUUCUUUCACUUUCUCCAGCAAUGCAGUCCAAUAGUUUACCAUGAAUGAAAAUUAAAGAAAACUCUGGUUGAGAAUGCAGUGCAACAGAUUUUCUUAUUGACAAAUAGUUUUUUUUCCUGGAAUGGACCAGCAAGAGAUGUGCCAAUUUCAUUAAGUAGAGCAGAAGUUUACAGACCCAUAAGAGCUUCUCAAUAAAUUGCUAAUUCAACAAACUGAAGUGGUAGCCAUACUAAUAAAGCCCCCUAUAUCACACCAGGAGUAGCACAACUUGUACCUAUCUGACCCAGCAGCUCAAUCUUCACUCCCGUGUGCUCUAGCCUUUUACCAGGGACUCGGGCAAUCGACAUCUGCGUACAAUUUCAGCAAAAUUUAACCCCACUCAAAUAGUGUCACACCCUAAAAUUUUUGAAUUUCAGGAUGUGAUUAAAAGGAAUAAAUAAAUAAUAAUUUUCUCAUAAAUUUCAAAAAUUUACCAACAUUUAUUUUUCUUUACAGGAAAUUUAGUAUAGGAAAAAUAAUUAUUUGUUUUUCAUAAUAUAAUAAUGAUGUUCUGUGCCUGCGCAUUCAUGCCGAUGCAUCUUGAUGUUUCAUGAGUGCAAAAGUUUUAAAAAUAUGUUUAGACGUCCAGACCCUUCUAAGAAUUUUUCAGAUUUUUCUGAAAUUUAUUCUCGUUUUCCUAGAGCUUAAUCCAAUUUUUGGAUGGUUCUAUAAAUCCUUCCAGAACCUCCCAGUCUUUUAUUUGGGUUCCUUGUGUUCCAAAUCAUCUCCAAGAAUUUUCCUGAAAUUUUUUGAAGCUUUCAGAGUAUUUUUCGUGAUUUAAUUACGAUUUCGCAAUUUUCUGGAAUUGUUUUCAAAUCCAAAAUUAAUUCCCGACAUUAGAAAAAAAGGAAAUAAAUCCUGACUCCAACCAAGCCUAAAAAUACUUUCCGGUGAUCUCCUUGAUAUCCUUUUUCCAACACCGCAAACCUCAUCUUGUUUCGACAACCCUAAUUCCUGUAGUUCGACGCCGAACAUUUGCAUCUGUUAAACUCCAGCGAACUUUCCGGCGAGAACUCCAGCGAGCAAACCGUCUGUCCUCGGCCAAAGGUGAGCACACCAUUGCGUUCGUAUUGUCGUUCUUGUUCCGUUUCGCCGUUCCGGCGCGAGUUUGGGCCUCGUCCACGGCUAUCCCUCUAUCUCUUUCUUUCUUCCUCUCCGUCGCUAUUUUGCGUGCUUGCUGGCCAUGGUCAUGCCGUGCCCCUGCACACCCAGCCGCCAUUGCUUGGCUGCGCCACCAGCCCACCCACCGCUAGCGCCGCCGCCCCGCGCCCCUCCGCACCUUGCGCGUCGCGCCCCGCCACCAGCCCCGCGCUGCGCUGCCGCCGCCUCGCAUGCGCCGGCCACGCCGCACCACCGCCGCCCACGGCCACCGGCCGCGCCCUUGCCUGCUGGCUCGACUGCCGCUGCCGGCGUCGCCCCUGGCCGGCCGCCGCCAAAGGUCACACAGCAGCGGCACCCCUGGCCGGCCGCCGCCAAAGGUCACACAGUAGAUCAAACUGGAGGAAGAAGAUGGCAGUUUUGUAGUUUAGCCCUUGAAAUCUAUUCAAAAUUAUGUUCAUACCCUUGGUUUUUCGCAGUUAUACCUCUGAAAGUUUCUAAUCCUCAUCAGCAGGUCCCUAGAGCUUCGUUAGGCCAUAUCUUUUACGUUUUAACUCCGUUUUGAGUGAUUCUUUCGCUCACGCGUUCGUCUUAACGGGUAGAUUAGUUUUGUACCGCUUUUCAGUACUGUUUAUGAUGAUUGGUGUACUGUUUUUAAUUUAGUUCUUUUGUUUGCUGUUAUGUGCGUGCUCUGGAUGUUUGUGCUGGAUCAUUGAUGCGAGUAGAACGAACGUAGUUCUAGGACAUUCAAGAGCAAGAAGUUGAAGACAUUCUGAGCAGCAAUACUACUUAAAGGAAGGCAAGUGUGUUCUUGUGCUUUUGUCCCAAUAACUUUAUUAAUCACUAUUGUAUAUGCUUGCAUUUAAUUUGAUGGAUUAGCUGCUAUACUUGGGUUAUGGUGGUUCUAAUGAGCAACAUGGUGAACUUAUUCUAUUUAUACUAUAUCUUUUAUUAAUACAAGAUUACAAUGUUUAAUCGGAACAUGGAGCGACCACCCAGGAAAACAGUGCAACCACAAGAAUUAUCAUGGUUUUGAUCUUGGCUAAUUAAUUAGAAACUCUAAUCUGGGGUAAUCUUACUCGUGAAAAGGCAAGAGGGGUGGCGGUAGAUGGGGUGUGAUGCCUUGCUACUGAUCCGGAAACCUUAGCGGGUUACCACUUACUAGUGAAUCUUUGUAAAAGCCUCGGAGCGUCUCUAUGCAAUCACACCUCAGAAGUGUGGUAUGGUGCCUUAUCAGCACCGCAUGGUUGGGUCUAAAGUUCUUCUAAACUUUUACGCGAUUUGUGGGUAAAGAUGUGCAACCUCUACAGAGUGUAAAAGUAUGGUGCCUAAUCAGCACCGCAUGGUUGGGUCUAAAGUUCUUUUGAACUUUUACACGACUUGUGGGUAAAGAUGUGCAACCUCUACAGAGUGUAAAACUGAUCAAUCAGCCGUGCUCACGGUCAAAAGCGGCCUGGACCCUCACAUGAUUAAUAUACUUGAAGAUGGAUUUAAAUCGUGGUUUAUGCUAUGGUUAUGGUUAUGCCAUAUGCUUAUGGCUUAUGUUUAUAUUAAUUGUUGUUUGGUAUAUACUUGUACUUUAGUAAUCAGGUGCUAUUAAAAGUUGACCAACUAAAAAUGCUUAAUGCAGUCAACCAGUCAGCCUUUCCUUGUUUAAGCCUUGCAUCAUAUUCUCCUCACACUUGCUGAGUACGACAUAUGCUCACUCUUGCUAAAACCAACAUUGCUCAAAAAAAGAAGCUGUUAUGAAGUUGUUGUGAAGAUGGUGCUGAGUUCUAGACGUACGCAGCCACCAGUCGAUUGCCUGUGAAGUUUGGAGCCUCCGUUUUCAGGAUUAAUAAAGUUUGGAGCCUCUGUUUCCAGGAUUAAGCUGUGUAUCUGUGAUGGUUUCGUAAGUAUUUAUUGUGUUCCUUUACGUGAUAUUGUUAUUGUUAUUCACUCAUGAUGUCACUAUAUGUAUGAAACUUGAUCUUGGUAUACAUAUAGGUAGCACUUGGUUUAUCGGGUGUGACAAAUAGCUCAAACCAGAGUAAACACAAAGCAAAAGGCGCCGCCAAUGGCACUAAUACUACCUCUCCAGCUAUGGUCUCAAGGCUCUGGAAAGCCGGCACCAUGGCUGUCUUCCCAUUGUCCUACUUGAUCGACACCUGCAAGAAUCCAACGAGCCAAUCAAUCAACCCAGCGUCCAGUUCCAUAGUUAAUUUGUUAGUUGUGACCCUGACAUCGAAUGCAGAGGCAACGCACCUGCUUCCGGGUCCUCUCGUCGGAGAAGGUGACAAAGAUGUCGCAGGGCGGCUUGAAGGCGCCGAUGAUGUAAUUCUGGAUAAGGAAGAGCGGAAAUCAGAGUGGGAUCUACCCGUGGCUCUGCCGUCCUAAGGCGUAAAGAUGCCAUCUUGGAGGGGAACGAGUCAAGUACUAGCAAGCAGCCAAGAUCAGAUGCGAUGUGCGUUGGUUACCAUGGCUGCUUCUGAGUCUGGGGAAUCGAAUCCUGGGGCAAUCCCGCAGUAGGCAGCCAAGGAGGGCCGCCGGCGCCGGGGAAGGAGAGGAUCACCGGCGAAUCAGCAGCACUGCAGCAGUCAAAUGGGGAGAUAGGGGGGGAUCGAUCCAUGGGCUUGCUGAUGCUUUCCGAGAGUUGUGCAUGGGCCUGCUAUGUGGGCCGUUUAUCCGGCUUCCGUGAUGGGCUUUAAACCACAGGAAGUCGAAGUCUCAGUUUUUUGGAUGAGACAGUGCAGCCCAUGUAUAUAGGUGAGGAAACUGAGGAUGCCCACGGCACGUUCACCUAGUUUGGGGAAAAAACUAAUUUUAAAAAAAUUGCAAGAAAACAAAAUAAAAGUAUCACCACCACGGCACUAAAAUAAUAAAUGAAAGAAUUUCGAUUCAUUGUAAAAUGGAAAGCACUUUGAUGUCAAGUUACUUGGGAGGAGAAAUUAUGUUUCUUUUCGAGUAGACAUGCUCAGCGGAGUUAAUAUUGUAGAAUUCACCGAAGAUUUGUUAAAUAAAUUCAUGAAAAUACAAGCAUCGUGGUGAGCCUGGGAUACGACGCAUAUACCUACCACAACAGGGUCAAACCAAAUGAGCCACUCUUGUCAUCUUAGAUUUUUUUUAUUAAUCUAAAUAGCCCUUUCGAUAACACUAAAUAUAAUUGUGAAAAUUCCUUCUAAAAAAUGUCAUGAUUCCUUAUGUGCCAUCUAAAACUUCAAACUCCCCCCUAUGCUAUUAGUUUAAUUUUGCCCUUCCCUGUUUGCUAUCGACGUGGCUUCAGUCAGUUGCAAGGGCCGUCACAGCACUGGUUCUUGUCAGGUUUUCAUGGUAAUAGCGAUGCCACCUCUUGUGCUUAGUGUUGACCAAUUCCAUGAGUUGAUGGGUCAAGAUGUGGUCGCCGGCCGGCUGUCAUUAGAUGGUCAGUGAAACAAGUGACGGAGUGCAGCUAGUAAAUUUUUAUUGAUUUUUACACAAAAGUUCAAGCUGUUCAGUACACCGCGUGAAAGAUUAAAGUUUCUAUUUUUGGGUCCUUGAAUCUGAUAUGGAUAGGAAAAUUUCUAGAGUUUGGAAAGGUUACAUUAAAUUUAUAUGCACAAAUUUACCUAAGCUAGUUAAACAUUUUGAUGAUUGUAAUUUAGUCCGAUUAGAAGGUUAUUAGGGGGUGUUAGUUUCUAUUGCAUCAAAUCUUCGAAGGCUAAUUACGAGGAUUAAAUAUAAGUUAAUUAUAAUGGAGGCUAACUCGCGAGAUAAAUUUAUUAACCCUAAUUAAUUCAUGAUCAGCACAUGUUUAUUAUAGCAUCAUAUUGUCAAAUCACAGACUAAUUAGGCUUAAUAGAUUCGUAUUGUAAAUUAGCCUCCAUCUGUGCAAUUGAUUUUGUAAUUAAUCUAUAUUUAAUACAUCUAAUUAAUCCAAACAUGCAAUGUGAUAGGUGUUCUAAUUAGUAUCCAAACAUUCGAUGCGACAGGGGGACACCCCUGCUAAACUUUAGCGCCUGCACAUUGGAUGUUUGAUACUAAUUAGAAGUAUUAAACAUAGUUUAAUUACAAAACUAAUUGCACAGAUGGAGUCUGAUUCGCGAGACGAAUCUAUUAAGCCUAGUCCAUGAUUUGACAAUAUGGUGCUACAGUAACCAUUUGCUAAUGAUGAAUUAAUUAGCCUUAAUAGAUUCAUCUCGCGACUUAAACUCCAUCUAUACAAUUAGUUUUGUAAUUAGCUCAUGUUUAGUCAUUCUAAUUAGCAUCCGAAUAUCCGAUGUGACACUGCUAAAGUUUAGCAUCUCAUAUUCAAAUGCCCAUAAAAAACCAAACAGGGCCUUGCCAGAUCUCUAGAGAACCUUUUAUGAUUAGCACAUCGUCAAAUCACGAACUAAUUAGAUUUAAUAGUCAUCUCGUAAAAAUAUAGGUCUCGAUGCAAUAGAAAUGUGAGUCCGAACUAAAACAACCAUAACCUUUUACUCUUCGUGGCCCUAGAUCUCCAGAGAACCUUUUAACCUUGGGCUCAACCAUCCAACUGUGGGCCCCUCGAUCCCCCACGUCAUCUCAUGACGCCACGUCGCCACAGCGCGCUGCCACUCCACUGUCCACUCUACCCCCACCGCCCACGGCACGCCGCAAUGCCGCAUGAUGAAGCUCCCUCCACCUCACAUGGUGAUCGCUCGACACGCGUCGGUGCCCACCCCACCAAAUCCUUCCCUCCGAUGUCCUCCCUCUCCUCCCCUGUUCCUAGAGCCGCCGCGCCGACGCGAGGAAGGAGCGAAGCAAGAGAAUCUCACCUCACCUCACCACCACCCUCCCCCCGCGGACGCAGUCAACGCGGGAGCCGCAGCCUCGUCUCCUCCCCACCUUCCCGUCGCCGUCGGCGCCGCUGCCACCGCACCGGCGCGGUGCGUACCGGGUCCGCGGGCCUCUCGCGAAGGCACCCGAUAAGCCGCCUCCACCUAUAAUAAACGAGCAAACAAGGCAGGCGACAGCAGGAACCGCGCCGGCCGGCCGAAUCCACCGAAGCGCGCCCCCAAUCUCAUCUGGCCGCCUGCCCGACACGCUGGGAUCUUCCUUUCCUUAGCCUAUCGGUCAACGCCGCGGAUUUUAUUCCUCUUCCCCUCUUCCCCUUCCUUCCUUUCCUUCCUUCUCCCGGGGCUCCGGAGGUUUCCGUAAACCCGUCGUCCGUCGCCGCGCGCCCCCCUCUUCUUUCUCGCAGGUGAAUCCUGAAUCCGCCGUUUCCCCUUCUCGUUCGUUCCUCUUUCUUUCCCCGGAUCUCGCCUUCGCUCGUCGGUUCUUGAUUUCGCUGGGGACGUGCGUAUUGGGGUUGCGUGGGGGAGGCGGGGUAGUCGGGAAAGGUAGGAUUUUGAUUUGUUUGGGGGGGAAUCUCCGGUGAGCUUCGUUGCGUCAUGGUGGGAUUUUUCAGGGAGGCGAGAUUCUAGUGAUGUACGAUUGAAUGAUUUCAUUGAUAAACACUGGAAUCGAUUGGGGUGCAGCCGGCCUGAUGAUUUUCAAUUUUUUUUGCGUCAAAUGGGAUGAAUUGUGGUGCAGCUGUCUGUUCUCUCACGGAUACCGUGGGAUGGGGAUUAUGGGGGUGGGAUUUUGGGGCUCGUUUAGCACAAGCUUUGCGUCCAAGUCUUAUCUUGCAGAACGAUGAAACUUUGUUGUCAGUUUCAGAUAUUUUUGUGUGCAUGUCCUGCCAACACUUGCUGUGAAAUGACCUUAUUUUCUGCCUGCCAUUGAUAGGUAUCGACGACCAACUCCUUCAUUCCUACGUCCCUCAGCACAGCAGCGACCAAAUUGGGAUUUUUGGGGGCAUUCGGAUUGUGCAUCAGUUUGCUGCCUUUGAAAAUUUGGUACCUGGUCGGCUGGACUCGAGGAGUUCUGCUUAAGGAACUCCUCUGUGAGGUUUCCUUGGAUUAUGGGAGCUUUCUGUUCUUGCCUGCAACCCGAUUAUUCCGACGACCAUGGGAACCACACGUCCUCGGCGUUUAGGAACUGUGUGUGCCUCAGAUGUUUUACCCAGCAGCUCAUCAAUGCGGUAUGCUGUUCUCACCUUGUUUGCUUGAUUUCUUACACACUGAAUUUUGUUCUAGUGAGUACUGACUAGUGAGCAAAUGCUGUAGUUAGGAUGAGAAACAUUAGCUGAUAUUUCUGAAUUCAGUUGAUCGGUGCAACAAAGGUAGCCAUCAUUGUACAUUGCGAAUAGAGAACUUUAUUAAGGGUUUCAAUUAAACCCAAAUAUGCGAUGGUAUCCUGUGUGAAUAUUUCAAAAGAAAAUGAUGCAAUGUGAUAUUUGUCCGGAGGAAUGAAUUCGUGACAACUUAUGUAGCAUAAUGUUCUCAUUGGUAAUAUUAUGUUUCUUGUUUUGGUAGCUGUCCGAAAUUGAUGAUCAUACUCUAUACUAAUGUGCACUGUUCCUCAGUUAUUACUGUAGUAACAGAUGUGUUUUAUCCUAAAUAUAGGUGUGUUUGUCUGAUAGCAAGCAUGGGGAAAUCAUACAAAAAACAAAUGUUACACUUUAUCAUACUGGUUUACUCUCUGAUAGAAUAAAUAACUUAUGUAAAUUGAGUUUAUACAGGUAGGAAAUAUUUGCAUUUUAAUCUUCUCUCUUGUUUUCAGUACACUGUUUUAUUCCGAGCUGGAGCAGUGCAUUCUGUAUCUCAAGCUAUAGAAGCCACUCCUGUUGAUUCAGCUGAAAGUUCCUUUGAUACAUAUCGUUCACCCCCAAGACCGCUGCCCUAUGAUGAUCCACGAUUUUCACCUCCUGCUCGUAACUGGUUAAGGCAUGAAACCCCAAGCCAUUCCCCAGAGGAGUCAGAACCACUUCGAGCAAAUGAUGAUGAGGAGGAAAUGGAGACACCAAGUAGAAUAGACAAGGCAAGUAAAACAAACUAUGACACAAAAAUGAAGAUAUGCAGCUCUGCUUAUGGAGAUAAGGUGCCACCCAAGGAACAUGGAAGUUACUUUAGCUACUUUUCCCCAACUGCUGAAGAUGAAGAUGUCUGCCCAACCUGUCUUGACGGUAUUAUUACAUUACUUAAAUUUUAUCUUCAGUAUGUUGGAAAGGUGUUUAGUAGUUUGCAAAAUGAUAACUAAAUUUCCUGAAGUAUGUGGUAAACAGAUUUUUCAUUACAUCCCUGCAACAAUACUAGAUUCUUGCCAGUUAAUGGAAAUGUGAUGUUGAGAGUAACUUUGUAUGAGCAUCACAUUUUUCUCUCAACAUUUUAUACUCAUAUUCUCACUAUUCUUAUAUGAUACAUAACUACAAUGCAGAUUAUACUUCUGAGAAUCCUAGGAUAGUAAUGCAGUGCUCACACCAUUUCCACCUUGGCUGUAUUUAUGAAUGGAUGGAAAGAAGUGAGGCAUGCCCUGUCUGUGGAAAGGUAAUUUGGUUGCUUUAUCCUUGUAAUUUAUUAUUACCACAUCUUAAGUAUUUUGCAUUUUCUGCUAUGAAGUCACUAGCCUGAAUUUACUCCUUUAGUCUGCAUGUUAUGUUGUUGGAAUUGUAUAAAAUUAAACUGAAAUACGUCGCCAGAAACCUGUAGAAAAGUGGCCUUGGGAUGAUAAUGUGUGCAUUACGAAUUUGAUGCAGAUCUUUUUUUAAGUCAGAAUUAUGCCCACUCACUGCAUUUUGACUAUUUAAUAAUUAAAAAGCUAAAGAAGUAUGACAGUUGUUGUGUCUGAUUUUCGUUGAUUAGUAAGCUGGCCUGUAAGCAGUAACCUCCAAUAAAUGAAAUGCGUAUAGCUGAUGGCUCUAAUUAUUUUUUCACACUAUUUUUCUUGGAUGGACUAUUAAUUGACCUCCCACUUUGUAAUCCAAUGCAGAAAAUGGAAUUUGACGAGACAACUUAAUCAUCUGGCUGGAGUCUACAUCUUGGAUUAACAACCUCAUAUGGCGGUCUGAAAACACAGGUGGUCUAGCCGCAGCAAGCUCUCUGUAAAUACACCCUGUAAAUAUUGAAUCGGUAGUGCGCUCUUUGCCAUACCAGUGUUCUUGAAAUUCUGGAUCGGUGCACAUAGACAUUCUUUUACGAUUUCUUCCAAAUAGUCAGAAGGUGAAGGUUUCCCCUUCACCUGUCUGCGCCCCUGCCUCGACAAGGCUUAGAGGCGCUGUGUUUCUCGGUGAUAGCAUCAUCGGAAAGCUGUAAAUUCACGACCUAUGUUGAUAUAAUCAUAUGAAGGCCCACGGUUCGGUUCUGGUGGUGGUUGCAAUAAUUAUUUGGCUUCGGAUAAUGACAUUCUGGCAUUGUAGAUCGAAUUUGUGAUGCUUUUGCUUCUGCGGUGUUGCAAAUUGUGAUCCAUUGGUGAUAGAUCAGAAGUGAUUGUACUUUGAUGGGGUACUAUUGAGAUGCUCCCCUUUUUCUCGUCUCCUUUUCGCGGUUUCUGCGAUGCACGUUUGUUAAAAUCCAUGGGUUGAUUCUGAAGAUGGCGUGCCUUGUUUGUAAGCUAAAAUGGUCCUUUAGUUGCUCCAUCCUUUUGAAGCCAAGAAGGUCCUUAUGUUCACCUGAGACGUUCUAUGUAUUGGGGAAACAAGUUGUGCUGAAAUUUCGGGUCUGUUCGCUUCAGCUUAUUCAGCCGGCUUAUCAGCCACCCAACAGUGUUUUCCUCUCAUAAUAAAUCAGCCGUUUCAGCUUUUCAGCCGGCUUAUAAGCUAAAGCGAACAGACUCCACUUAUAAACUGAAGCGAACAGACUCCACUCUGCAGUACCUGCUAGGUGGUGAGGGGCCAUAAAGAAUUCUGCCUAUAGGUGACAUAUGACAUCUUAUUUCAGAAGACCUGGCAGGUUAAAAAGUUGGAAGCUGAAGUAAUUACUCCAUUUAUGUAGAGUGUGCACCUGCAGUACUAUUUAUCCAUUGGCUAGUGCAUGGACAAUGUCAAGCUUUCACAGAAGCUGGAUCAUAUGAGUAAUUUAACACUUGAAUAAAAAUUCUGAUGAACCAAACCCAAGAACAGGCAAGGCUUGUUGCUGACGGAAGGAUGGGUCAGUUUUUGACACUCAUACAAGCAGAGCUACAGGUCACAGAAAGGGUACUGAUGAGACAGACAGCAAUGAAGAAGGUUACAGAGAUACACGCGGGUCAAUUCUCUUGGAAAUUAACCGUGGAACAAGCAGGUUACGAUGAGCUACUGAAAUCAAGCGUGCGAAGUAGACGGCGUUCUCGAGCGAGCUCAGCUCUGAAGUAGCCUGAACCGGGGAAGCUGCCAUCAGCCCAUCACUUGCCGGCGCCGCCGCCGAAGAGGUAGUCGAGCGACGAGCCGCCGCCGGGCGCGGCGUGCACCUUGGUCGACGGGCGGUCCUGUCAUGCGCACCAUGGCGAUCGUCGACGAUGUGUCGAUGUCAGCAAAAAGAUAUUGGGUGCAUAACAAGUUCAGAAACUUGAGAAGAAGCGAGAGCCGGCGGCGGCUGACCGUGAGGAAGUUGCCGCAGUUCUGCCCCUGCGCCCGGAAGUAGUUGUUGGUCUGGCUGCCACGGACGCCGGCCGGGAUCCCCUUCAGCUUCUCAUCGUCGUGGCCCGCCGCCGCCGCCGCCGUCACCCUCUGCUCAUCCGCCGCGGUCGCCGUCACCCUCUGCUCAUCCGCCGCGGCCGCCGGCUUGGCGCGCGCCGCGGGGGCCUCGUCGCCGCCGCCGAACAGGUAGUUCAGCGAGCUCUGCCCGCCGCCGUAGCUCACGCCCCGCCCACGCCCCAUCCUCCAAGCUACCUUCUUGCAGUUCUAGGGGAGGAAGAUGAAGUGGCUGUGCAAUGCCACCGUUGCUCGCCGGAGGGUCUUGCUAUUAAUAGAAGAAGGGAGCGCGCGAGCGCCGCCGACGCGCCGCCGCAUCGUGGCCGUCGGUUUGGGCAUCUCAGGGGAUCGGACGGCGAGGAGCCCGCGGGGCGUGGCGUCGGUGGCGGUGGGGCCCGCGCGGGCGGCGAUGUGGAAGUUUCCACUUCGGUUGGCGGCGCGUCGCCAUGAUUAGGAGAUGAUGGGAGGGAGGGGGUGUUUCGAUGGCUCCACUGAUCGACCGAACCCGGCCGGCUUUGGUUGGUGCAUGGCGCGUGAAAGAGAGAUGAAUGAACGUUCCGGCGCAAAUUAGUCCCAAAUCGUACGAAACCCGGAGUGAUUUGGAUUUCGAAAACUCUUCAUCCGAAGCAAGGCAUCGACGUGAACUGUGAGCACGAGUUUUUGCAAAAAAGAAAAGAAACAUUGGUCAUACUCUCUUGCACUUCAAGCCCUUUGUUAUAUAUAGACCUUUAGUAACUACAGCAAGGAUGAUAUUCAGCCGGCUUAUCAGCCACCAAACAGUGUUUUCCUCUCACAACAAAUCAGCCGUUUCAGCUUUUCAGCCGGCUUAUAAACUGAAACGAACAGAUCAAUGGCCACAUAGUUAACUAGGCUGUCGAGAGCCUUUCCUUUUCCUGUUUCAAGAGGAUUUUCGUUUCAAAACUCUUCUCCUUCAAGCAAGCCCUUGAUCUAAACAAAAGUUUUUAAAAAAAAUUAAAAAGAGCCACUAGUAGUUGCACACUUUUGUCAGUUUGUGCCCCGUGUGCUCCUCAAAACGCGUCUAUAUACUUCUCAAAAAAAGAAGACGAAUAUAUAGCCAUGCCGUUCUAAAAUUUUGCUUUGAAUAUUGAUGGCCAAAACUAAAUGUGGCGACCGCACGUAUCUCAAAACGACUAACCCCUUGUAGCUAGACUGGAGGGUGUUCAUUCAUGGCUGCCAUUUUCGCCAUGCUAUCUAGCAGCUCCAGUAACAAAGAUAACUGAAGCAUAUACAUGGUGUUGCCUCUUCAAUUGUUUGUUCUCGAUCGACACUCUUAAUUUUUUCUACUACUAUUAGUGAAACUCAAGUGGGGUACCAAUGUAUGAAUGAUGGUGCUAGUGCUACACACAUAUUGCAAAAGACAAAGAGGUGGCAUCUCUUUGAUGGUCAUGAGCCACUGCACUGUAGUGGACUGCAGAAUAGUUUGAUACGGCAGGUACAAAGCUGAUGAGUCUCGAACUAAAGCACAAUCAGUGGCUGAUAGCUUGUGGUUGGAGUAAAGCAUCCGAGACCAAAGAGGCUGGCCACAAGUUGGAGAAAGGGAUGUGGCAUCUGCUGCUAACUACAGCUACUACCAUACAUCUCUAUCCAUCUGUUGCAACCACAAGGUUCUUCCCAGAGUUAGGUAUACCGUGGCAAAAAAAAAAAAGAAUAUAAAAAAGCAGAUAAUGGAAAAGGAAAAAAAAGUAGAGAAAGAGCAAAAGAUAAAGAAAAAGAAAUAAAGGCACGCUGCAUUAGGUCAGAUGGAGGAAUCCAUGGCUUAAUGAUCCUGACUAACGCAAAGGCCAUUGUAACGCACAAUACAUCAUUAUGUUUUAAGAUACGCACUGUUUGACAAAGAGGUCCACAACCUUUGCAUAAACCAAAGCUGUGAUUCAGCACUUCAAAUGUGAUGCAAUUCAUUAAUUUCAUACUCAACAGUUGCUUAAAAGAUACUUCAAUCACAAUAUCAGAACAGUUCAGGACCAUCCAAAAAAAGUGGGAUGAAAUAACAAAUACUUACAAGCAACCAGAUAGUUCAGCUAAAUCCAAUAAUUGCUACUGAAAUCUACAGCUUGAAAUGUGGCUGCAAUUAUUUCACCGCUCAGCAUAAAAAAUGGAAGGUUCAGAAUUGCGGUAAGUAGUCAACUUAUGGCAACUUGGUAAUUAGCUCUUCAAAGUCGGAAACAACCCAGUCGGCUUCUGCUGCAACUGGCUCCCUCAACUGAACACCGGCGUAACAGAUAAACAAGUCUGCUCCACCAGGUUGCCGGGCCUGCAAAGACACGGGCAAAUUAAUGUAGCUGUAUACAUUGUUUUAUGCUACAGUAUUGUAACUAAAUUGCUAUACGCAGAUAGAUCAGUAGCUUCUCAUAUCACUAAGUUGCAUACGCCAUUCUCUAAUUAUUUCCUUUGCUGAAAUAUUCACUAAAGAAGAGCUGCCAGGUGUAAAUAGCCUAAAAACAAGUUUUUUUGGAGUUUGGACAGGCCAAGAGCAAAACUAACUCUUUGACUCACUCAUUGCUACAUCAAGAUAAAUUAUAUUUUGGUCCCACCAUGUGAACAGCAGAAUCAACAUUAUGAGAUCUGACUGAAAAACACAAAAGUGAAAUGUUUUGGCGAGUUGCAUGCCUCAUCAAUCAAUCAACAAGGAAGCAACUUUUCGACCAUAUAAAUGUAGAUAACUUCCCUUUACCCAAUAAAACAUUGUCAUUCUACACAUCUAUUGUCAAGAUAGAUAUUUCAAAGGCAUCAUCCAGUCAUAUACCUCAAGAUCAGUUGCACCAUCUCCAAUCAUAAUGACCGUCUUGUAGCCGUAGUUCUGAACACAAAGAAAGAAGGUCAGCAAGGUGGAUAAGAAGUAGAAAAUGCAACCAAAAGCUAUACAGUUUAACUAGACCUGUUUUAUUUGCUGCACUGCUUGUGCUUUUCCGCCACUGCGUGAAGUGGGCUCUGUGGGAUCAAAUCCAGCAUACUCCCCAGAAGUUCCAAAGAGAACUUGGUUUGCAAUUAUGUUUUCAGCAGGAAUACCAAGCUCAGAUGCCACAGGCUGUAGAAAAGGCAAACAAAAAACCGAUGAGUUCUUAAUGGAAUCAUUUAAAAAUAACACAUAGAUAUAAAAAAAAUCACAUGCCCACAAUAUUAAAAAAGUUCCGCACUACAAAUAUAGUCUAGUUGUGUUAAAGAAAUUGUACGUAUUUAGAUUUUCUAGCAGAAGAUGCAUCCUUGUUUGUUAUUACAAUGAACAAACAAUAUAUUUCUAACAAACAAUAAAACCCCAAAGUGAAGUUUGCUCCAACUUCAUAAUAAUACAAGCACAAAAUUUCAAUAUCUUAUAAAAGGCAGCAAAAAUGAACCAUGGUAUGAUAUUACAGGACUACCGAAGUGGUGCUGUAGAGUGGAAUAAUGUACUUACCUUGAUCAUUUGUCGGAAGCCUCCUGACACAAGGAACACAUCAGUAUUGUUAGCUUUUAGCUUCUUAACCAAAUCAGCCAUUCCUGGAGAAAUCCUGCAAAUAAAAGAUCACUGCUUUUGCUAAUUCUGUCAUUGGAUAAAGAAAAUGAAUAAUUCUUUUAUGUAAGUUGCAGUUACUUCUGUUUCAGUGUGGGGAAAAAAUGUUGAAUGAGUUCUAUCUUGGUUUUGCACUGUAGUCAGAAAAAUUUUAGGGCAUCAUUACAUAAGGCAUAAGUCAAAUUAGCCAAAAAGUGAUAUACUUUUGUUGGUUCAAUAUAGCUACAGUUUUCUUCUGGGCCUAAAAAUUGAAAAUGGGUAAAAACAAUUGGCAUCCCAAAGCAAUUUAUUUUUUUUAACGAACCCCAAAGCACAUUCUUUUUUGUUUUUAAAUGAACCCAAAAGCACUUUCUGUUCUAGAAGCUCAGAGUCAGAUAUAAGGGGUUAAACAGACAAAGGACAAACACCUAUAGCACAUAUCCACUAUUUCCGAAAGAUAAAUAGCAGAAGUACACAAUCUAAUAUGAUCCAAAAUAGGAAGGGAAAACACUGCACUGAAAUACUAUCUACUAUCUAGAUCAACAGAAGUUAGGACUAGGCGAGCAUACCUUGGCGGCCUCUUCACCAAGCACUCCUCAAUUUGGGAGAGAGAUGGCUUGAUUAAAGACAGCCUGGCUGCCAGAGCCUCCUCAAAUGGAACAGUCCCUGUCAUUGCUCUGGCAACAAUAAGGCAAUGUCAGAUCUUCUGAUAAAAAUUAACAAACCAGAUGAAUAAACCUACAUAAUGGAGAAUUUACUUCGCUGUCCAUUCGGCAACAGCUUUCCCUGCCCCACAGAAAUCGGCAAGCUCGUCGAUACCCUCAUCCUGGAUGACCGUGCUAUCGACAUCGAAACACACUGCAUCGGCAUUCUGCAAUGUCUCGAUAACCCCUGAAAACACGUAGACAAGCAAUACAAGCAAGUUACUCCCAACUCACGGUGUAGCUACUAACUCUGAGACUGACACUGAUCAGCUGUUCUAUCUUAAACACCUCUGGAAGGCUUUGAAUAAGAAAAAAGGAACAACCUUUGGAGGGCUGGCGAUUGGCCAGAACAGCCGUGCCACCGUCCUUGGAGACCUCCAGUGCUGCUGCCACUAAACCACAGCUCUUGCAAACCUUAGCAGAGCGAAACAGCGGGCUUGCAAACCGAACAGCCACUUGCGAAGCCGGUGGCGGCCGAGCGGUGGCGGACGACCGACGAACAGGCAGCAAACUUCCCGGGCCUGCGCGCGCUCCGAUCAGGCCGGCCAUACCAUACGCACCUGGCAAAGCAGACGAGGCAACAAAUGAGCUGAAUGACCCAAAGUGCGCGCUCGUGCUCAGUGGCACAAAGCGUCGAACACCUCGCGCGCGUGCCCGGCAAGCCCGACCCGCGGGGCGGAUUCUGGCGGGAAGGCAGGCGGAAGGAUACGGAGGGGAGGAAGCAGGGCGAAGAACAGAUCACUAGCUCACCUGGGCCAGAAGAUUCCAAGGGGAGGGAUGAACGCGCGGCGCCGCCACUCCGGCCCGUAGGAAUCGCCGAGACCAACCGGUGGGUGUUGGUGCCUUGGUGGUGGCAAACGUUGCUGUCCACCCACCUACCCCCCUCUCGACGCCGCCACUAUCGCCCAGUGACAUGUGGGCCCGACCAUCCCGUGGGCCUACAUGCAACCACCUACCACUCCACUCGUCCUGACGCGAGGCGACGAGAGAGCGGCGCCGCCGCGCGGCGGGGCUCCGCGACGGCGUGGCCCGGGUCGCUUUUUGGUAUCCUCCCAGUCCCAACCAAUCUCCAUCUCCCCCCGGCUCCCCCAACCGGACGCGGGUUUGAUUUUUCUUGCCUACCCCCGCAUUCGCGCCUCCACGUAGCGACCUCGUUGACUGAGGCGGGGAUUCGGUCGGGUGAUUCCGUAUCCCCCUUCUCCUCGCCUCCGAUUGGCGCCGCCAGCUCCUUUCUCCGAGCCUCCGUGCAUCGCAUUUCCUCGCUGCCGGCCCACCGCAGGAGGAGGAGGCGGCGGUCUCCGUUCCCUUUGCGAGGCCGCGAGCGCGGGGCGCUCGAGCGACGCCAGGAGGUGCCGUGCGUACUUCCCUUGGCUUCUCAUCGAUUUUGAUUUCUGUAUAGAGUUUGGUUUGGGAAUUUGGGGAUGGGGUGUUGAUUUCUGUACAUUUCUGAAAUUGCAGGAACCAUCUAGCAGAUCGUCGGGGGGAAACACAGUCAGCUGUUCUCUGCUCCUGAUGGGCCUACUCUGAUAUCUCUGACACUUUGAAAGCUUGCAAUUUUCGAUUUUUCGUGGAUACCUGAAAUUACUGUCUGGAUCAAGCAAGUAUGGGUAGCAGCAACUCAGCAAGCAGUUAACUAUAGCAGCUCUAUUGGUUCUUGACUGAUCUAGCAACAUACAGUUGCUCGGUAGGUUGUCAGAUUAUCGAUUCCUCUGAAGCAAAGGAAGCAGAAAUGGAUGGGAUCAUGGUGAGUGCCGCGACGGGGGUGAUGAGCUCCCUCCUCGCCAAGCUCGCUGACCUGCUGAGGGAGGACUACCAGAUGCAGAAGGGCAUGAGGCGUGAGAUCAGCUUCCUCCAGGACGAGCUGAGCAGCAUGAACGUGCUCCUCGAGAGGCUGGCCGACAUGGAGGUGCUUGAUCUGCAGACGAGGGAGUGGAUGAACCAGGUGAGGGAGAUGUCAUACGACAUCGAGGACUGUGUCGACGACUACAUGCGCCAGCUGCGCAGCGGACCGCAGAGGCCUAGUGGAGUCAUGGGGUUCUUCUUGGGGUAUCUUCAGAGAGUGAAGGAACUUGUUACCGGCCAUGAGACUGCCGAGCAGAUUCAGGAGCUCAGGGAUCGCAUUGUCGAGGCGGGACACAGAAGGAAGAGGUACAAGAUUGAUGAUGCAGUUAAUUCCUCUAGCGUUAAUGUUGUGCCUGUUGACCGUCGGUUGCCAGCUCUCUAUGCGGAAUUGGGAGGCCUUGUUGGUACCAGUGUUCCCAUAGAUGAGGUCAUCAAGCUACUUGGUGAUGGGGAGCAGGGGAUGAAGGUAGUGUCUAUUGUUGGGUGUGGAGGAUUAGGAAAGACUACCAUAGCGAAUCAGGUUUACCGAAAGGUUGCUGAGCAAUUUGAUUGCCAAGCUUUUGUGUCAUUGUCCCAAAAUCCUGACAUGGUGAUGAUAUUUCGGUCCAUACUAUCACAAGUAAAGAAGGAUGACUGCGACGGUACCAGCCUUAGUGACAAGGAAUUGCUUAUUAGUGAGUUGAGGGAUUUCCUAAAGGACAAGAGGUAUCUUAAAUUUACUUUAUCUUGCUUGGAUACUCUUUGGCUUUUUGUGUCCAAGCAAAUUCUCUAAACAUUCUUUCAGUUAGUUAGUAUUUUUAUGAUUUAUAUCUGCACUGAAGCAUUAUUUCAAGUUACCACCAGUUAUAAUGACCUUUUAUUAUCAUGUCACAAGUCAGAUAUGAACCGAUACAUCAAAUUGUCAAGAUUCUCCUGAAAUUAGCAUUCCUGUUCUUAUAUAGGAAUUCAAUUACAACAAACACUAGGAAUUAAAUUCUCCAUAAUAUAUUAAGUUAGGACUAUGAAUGGUGAUACAAGGCUUUAUCACACUUUCCUCACUAUACCAUGCAUAUAUCAGUCUAGGGUUUUCAACUGAGUCAUAGCUUUAUCUUGUUUUAUAGGUAUUUUAUUGUAAUUGAUGAUAUAUGGAGCACCCAAGUGUGGAACACGAUCAGAUUUGCUUUGUUUGAGAAUACUUAUGACAGUAGAAUAAUAGUGACAACAAGAAUUCGUACUGUUGCCAGGUCAUGUUCCUCCCCUCACUAUGACCUUGUAUACGAAUUACAGAUGCUAAAUGAAUAUGACUCUAAAAGGCUAUUCUUUAGAAGAAUUUUUGGCUCUGAGGAUAAAUGCCCUCACCAACUAAAUGAGGUGUCAAUUGAAAUAAUUAGGAAAUGUGGUGGUUUACCAUUGGCAAUCAUUACUAUGGCUAGUUUGUUGACCACUAAAUCAUAUAGCAGAGCUGACUGGUUAAAGGUUUGUAAUUCUAUUGGUUCAGGACUUGAGAAAAAUUGGGAUGUAGAAGAAAUGAACACAAUACUUUCUCUCAGUUAUAACCAUCUUCCUCACCAUUUAAGGACAUGUUUACUAUAUCUAAGUAUGCUUCCAGAAGAUUAUGUGAUCAAGAGGGAUUAUUUGGUAAGAAGGUGGGUAGCAGAAGGAUUCAUCAGUGCACAUGGUGGAAGGAAGUUAGAGGAUGAAGGUGAAUGCUAUUUUAAUGAACUUAUAAACAGAAGCUUGAUUCAACCAGUAGAUUACCAGUAUGAUGGUAGAGUACAUUCAUGCCGGGUGCAUGAUAUGAUUCUUGAUUUCAUUACAUGCAAGGCAGUUCAAGAAAAUUUCAUCUCUAUCAUUACUGAAAGAAAACAAAUGUUGGCCUCACAAGUCAAAGUUCACCGACUCUCACUAGACUACCAUAGUCAAGAACUUGUGACAUCAUAUUCCAUGGUUACUACUCAUGUGAGAUCUCUGAACAUUUUCAGAUACUCUGAAAAAAUGCAUCCUCUUUCAGACUUUCAGGCCCUGAGAGUGCUUGAUCUAGAUGGUAACGAAAAUUUUGAUAGCUCUUAUCUUGAAGAUGUGGGGAAGUUGUUUCAGCUAAGAUACCUCCGAAUUAAAGCAAGCAAUAUCAUUGCACUUCCAGAACAAAUAGGAGAGCUGCAGUUUAUGGUUGUAUUGGAUCUUCUAAACUGUCCUAAUAUAAGUGAAUUGCCUGCAAGUAUUGUUAAACUUCGGUGUUUGAAAUGGUUAAUUGCUCAUCGUGUCAGACUGCCAGAGGGAAUUGGGAACAUGCAAGCCCUAGAGUUUCUGUCACUUAUAGUUGUGGACUACACUACCUCAAUAACCAUGUUACAAGAGCUGGGCAGCUUGACCAAAUUGAGAACUCUUGGAUUGGAUUGGCGCGUUGGUACCCAGCAUAGGGAUAAAAAUAUAUAUACCGAUAAUCUGGUUUUAUUGCUAGGAAAAUUAGGCAGGUCCAAUCUUCAAUAUUUAACGCUCAUAAGUCCCUGGUCGCUAGACUUCUUACUGGACUCUUGGUCCCCAGUUCCUCAUCUCCUUCAGGAAUUAGGGAUCAAAGGAUGGUACCUCAGCAAGGUUCCUGCAUGGAUGGCCUCCCUCACCAAUCUCACUUACCUAGACAUUGAGGUUAAAGAUUCACAGGAAACACUCAAAAUCCUUGGGGAUUUUCCUUCCUUACUAUUCCUAAAGUUACACUCUAAUAUAGGUGGCCCUUGGGCAAGUUGCAUCGUUUCCAGCAGCAGCUUCCAAUGUCUGAAGAAGUUCAACUUUGGCGGUUGGACAAGUCUGAUGUUCGAAGGAGGAGCCAUGCCAAUGCUCGAUACUCUUGAAUUCCAAAUCAUAGCGCACGAGGCACAAAAUUCAAGUAGAUUUGGUCAUCCUGAUCGUGGCAUCCGCUACCUCUCUGCCCUUAGGAAGCUCAUUGUCAAUAUCCACUGUCAAGGUGCAAGAAUUGAAGAGGUGGAAGCAUUAGAGGCUGCUAUUCGAAUUGGAGCCAGCAUGCUUCCUAACCACCCUAAACCUGCUUUACACAGGUUUCAGGUUGCAGAGAUGAUAAAAGAUGAUGCAGGUAUAGAAAUGCAGGGGCAUGAGGAGGAUAAGAAGCUUUCAACCCCAGCCUGGUUCUUCUUCAACACUUCAGGGCUAGGAGUUGGACAAGAAAUGACUUCGAGUCCUGGUUUGGAUCUUCUUCAAGACGGCUAACUAAGGUAUUGACCAAUGGGCACUACAUUCAUUUUUCAUGUUCUUGUGCUAGCCAUGGAUGUCCAUUCUAAUAUAGCUUUGCACUUUAUUUACUAAUCUGACAUUGUGCGAGAUCUUUUAGUCUACCUUUGUGUAUACCUUUUUUCUUCAAUAUCUGGUUAUCAAUUCCGACAGCAUAUAAUUCCCUCCAGCAGGUCUUUCUGGUUGUUUUAUUUAACCUUUUUUUCCAUUUCAAUAAGAAAACUAUUGACUUAAAUAUGUGAUGGUGUACGUACUACUAUUUAUUUGAAUGGAAGCAAAUUUUAUUUUAAAGCAUUAAAAAAUAUCAGUGACUCUAGUUUCUUCUCCUGUCCAGGUAAUGGUUGUUGCAAUGGCAUAUUUAAAUAUCAGUUCAUAUAAGCUUUGGCCAAUUGGCCUCUAUUUAUAGAUCCAUAACCUUUUAGAAAUGGGAUUUCACUCUUAAAGUUCUAAAUUUACUGUUAUUUUCAGUGUUUUUUAUUUAUAUGACCUUAUAAAGUUAUAUAUUUUGAAAGUGAUCCUUGCUAAACAUCAUCUCACCAGUCAAUAAAAUAUUCUAAGCUGAAUGGAAAUUACUCACAAAAGACAUUGUCAAUAACCUCAUCAAUGUAUAAGCUCCAUGCAAAGAUUUUGUUUUUUUCUCUCCAACAGACAAUGCUCCUUUGUUAACUUUCUAGAGUUUGAGAUGGUAAAAAACUAGUUCUCAUGGCCGCACAUCAAUCUGUGCUUGCAGAAUGAGGUCAGGAGUCUGGGAAAUAGGCAGAGCUCACUUGAACUCAGCAGCCCUUUGGUACAGCUUCUUCAAUGGCUUCUGCAGCAGCUUCUGUUGUAGCUGUACCAAACGCUAAAACUCUUAACAGCUUCACUAGUGAAGCCAGACUGAAGUCGCCUGAGAAAAUAAACAGGGUGGUCGGAGCUGAAAAAAAUGGCUCCUACUGGCUUCCUCUGUCCCUGCAUUAACACGUGAGACUGGUUCACCCAAUUAUUUCAGAAUUGGAGUGCAUGACAGGUUUCUGAAACCUAUCUCUUUAUUGCUGGAAGAAACCUUACUUAAUGGCAGCUGCCAGAAGUUCUUGUUAUGUCUCAUAAAUAUAGGUGCGCAAUGCGCAUAAACUUUUUUUUCUUAAUAGCACUUAUAUGAUCAUAACUUUUGUAUAUUUGCGAAUCCACAUGUUUAACAUUCUGUACAAAUGCAUCAUAUUUGUGAAUGUUUGAACUGACAGCCAUUGAGCUGGACUUGCAUCAAGCUUCGGCUGUUUUGAAACCUUGGUUAAUAGAUUUACUUCACAUGAAGCUUUUGCUCCUGGACAUGGACAAGUGUAUUAUUGAUAUAGUACUUCAAGAGAUACUGAACUUGCCACCCUUCUAUUCACAGAAAUAUAACCAAGGCAAGCAACACUGUUCUGAUGCUUCCUUUGGUUAACCUUGUAGUAUUUAUUGCAUUUGUGGUAUUUGUUCAUCUGCCUGCGUUGAAUAGUCAAGUCCCUGACAAAGGGGGCUUGAUUAUUCUUCUUCUUGUUGCAUGAUUAAACAAGCUCGAACCGGCAUUUCUUCGACCAUGCCAUGCUUAGCACUGUUCUGAAAUGAUAAAUAUACUAUGCGCCAUGCUUUCUCAAAUGAAGGUCGAUACUCUGCAGUCUGCAGACUCUGCACCAUACUCUCUCAAAUGAAGGUCGAGUAUGCCAGCACUGAAAUAAAAAAUGAGGAGUGGCUUGUCAAUGCAAUGAGGGAUUUCUUGAACGACAAGAGGUACAGAUUAUUCCAUUGCAAAUUAAUUUUGCACUUCUUAUAUAUAUAAGGUACCUGCCUAAGCUACUCUAAGCAUUUUAAUUAAUAUCACUGGGGUAAUCGAGAGCCCUAGCCUUAUUAUUGGCAUCAUCAAUGUAUUUGCCUGAGCUAAUCAUUCCAAUUGUUAAUGCUUUUUAAGAUCGGUGAAACAUGUUGGUUUUAAUAAAUUAUACCUUCCCUUCUUCUAAAAAGUAUAUACUAACUCUAGUAGGUACCUUCCCUUCUUAAAAAACAAAACUAAUUGUUGAGAAACUCAAUUUAUGCAGCAUUUAACUUUUAAGCCGAUCUGAGCUAACAUGGUUUUGUUCAAUAAUGCACUUCUCUUUGUAAUGUUAACUGCUCAAUUCAUGACGAGGAGAAUGUACAGUACAUGAAAGACGGCCUGAUGGACCGUACCCGAUAUGCAUCACGACUGGUUUCUACGCCGUUUCUGAGGAUGGAACUGGAUGCACUACCUGGUUGCAUUGUUCGUUCAUCGUGAGCUACACUCUAUCGCCAGUUCGCCUUACCAUUAGUUAUAAACAUUAAUAUGGAGUGCGUAUAUGUCAUCAGUGUGAACUAUCUCAGAGUUUGAGGCAAGGGAGCUUUAUUUCAUACAGAUCGUAUAUCAAUGAAGAUCGACAAGGACUCCAUACUCAGAAACACAACACUCACAUGAUGUAGUGGCUAAAAUACGCUAACUCAGCUCGUGCAUGGUUUGGUUCUGCUUUCUCCUAAAUGCACUAACUCAGCUCUUCAGCUGCCAUCCUUCCCAGUAGUUGAGCUUCACGAAUAACAUGCGCCACAAAGGAGCGGCAAGGAAGAUGAGCUCAAAACAUUUCCAGCAUCAUCAGGCAUUCGGACUCGAGGAUCGCCUGGUCCGACCAAGGGGAGGCAUGCUGGAUUCACUCUUAACUCUGAAGCACACUGGAAACUCUAUUCGAGAAUCUUAUUUCAUGUUGAAACAAUGUUCAUAAUUCAUAAUAAUACUUUCUUUAUUUAAGAACUCAUGCAUGGUAGAAUUUAUCUUUCAGACUUCGUUGACGCGGGCAAACUCUGUUUCUGUAGUUUUGUGGUAGAGUUCAUUUGGCACAACAUGAUGGCCAUGGUUACAUGCCAAAAGCUCUAAAGGCGGUGGUGGGAGAGAUGUUCCCACUGUCGGCCCAUCCUCUACAAUGAAUAUCGCCGCCAUGCCUAUCGAUAAAUGGAACUCAUAGUGGUAAUGCAUGAACCAUACCCUGUACAAAUACAAGGCAAAGGAUUAUCAUGCUGUGAGUGAGACCUAACCUUCACAUGCAUAAGACCAUGUCACAUCAAAGGAUUAUCAUGCUGUGAGUGAGACCUAACCUUCACAUGCAUAAGACCAUGUCACAUCAAAGGAUUAUCAUGCUGUGAGUGAGACCUAACCUUCACAUGCAUAAGACCAUGUCACAUGUACUACUAGACAUGGAAAUCCUAUACGCACCUGGAUUCUCUGCCACAAACCGGAUGGCAGCCCAGCCGAUCCUCGGGACGAGCACGGAAUUCCUCACUGGCGGAUCAACCAGGUUGUACUUGGCCACAUCCCUCGCCGCGUCAUAGUUACCGAUACCCUGCGCAAGCACAAACAUGUCGUGACCAUGCAGGUGCAUCGGGUUGGAGUCGCUCUGCAUCACCGCCGUGCCCUGGAACACGAUAUCCACCACAGCACCAUGCCGAAAGCGCCGCGCCAAGCUACCCCUAGACGUAGGUUCUAGCUGCCCCUCCUUCGGCCCCCAUGGAAUCAAGCCCCGGUCAGUGAAGUUGAACACCAUCGGCAGCCUAUCGGGAAGCUCUUGUAGCACGUCCAUGUCGCCGGUGUGGUAGUAGUGCGCUUCUAGCAGUGGCAUGGUCGUGUCAGGGAGCUGAAAUGAGAUGUUGUUCAUGGUCGCGACAAUGAUGGACUCCUUACUCCCACUUCUCUUGCAGGACUGGCCUCGCCGGCAGAUAGAGCCCAGGCCAACGGUAAUGAACAGGGACUCAUCGGCACGCUCCGGCACCAGCGGCCGUUGUGUGUCGUUCAAGCUGGUCAAGUUACCAUGGAAGUAGAAGGAGGGCAUCGUGUCAUGCUGGUCGGGCAUCUCAGUUGCCACUGGAGGUGCGGUGCCAUUGCUGGAGACGUGCCCGGUGCUGUACCACACAGUGCCUCUUGUGACGAACUUUGGUAUCUGGUGUUAGAUUGAUCUCUUUCCCGAUUGACCCAAAGGCCAAUCAGGACCUUGAUCUGCGCCCUGAUCGGGGGCGCUCACCCUAGCAAUGGGUGGUGGGCCCCUGUCGCGCUGCGCUAUAUAAACAGGGUGGGGGGACCCGGCUCGGCUCACGAGGUUCGCCGCAGCCAGCCGCCCCCACCGACACACCUACCGAUCUAGGUUGCGCAGUAGCGGCGGGAAGCACCACCGCCACCUCACCGGCGACCGGACUCGGCACUGCGCGUCGCUGCCUUGCGCAGACUACACCGACAGAACCCGCGAUGGCCAGCAGCUCUGCUGCUCCCACCUCUAGGGGUGAAGGUACCCCAUUUCUCUCCCUCUCACACUCGGCACUCACCAGGAACACCUUGUGCCUCAUGACUCUCUCGAUCCCGACUAGAUGUGCUCUAGAGAUCCUAGGCUAGGCCCUAACAUCUGGAGGUCGGACUUUGGCGAUUCGAGGGCUGUGAUGUAGUACCCACCGGGUGGCGCGUCGGCAACCACGAGGGCAUCAAUAGUCUCACCGGGGGCGAUCGCGAUGAUGUCCGUGGUAUAAGGGUUGACGUAGUUUGCGUCGGUGGCAACCACCGUGAACUUGUGCCCGGCGAUCUUGAGGUAGUACUCGGAGACGAGAACAGCGUUGAUUAUUCGAAGCAGGUAGGUCUUUCCGGGCUCCACGUUCAGCACAUAGCCGUCUUUCUUUGCCCCUUCAUUUCAGAGUUAAAAAUGAAGGAAUUAGUCGUAUAGAACAAAGUUUCAUUUUAUUUGUACACCAACAAGUAUCCUAUGAAUGGUUACCGGAGCAGUUGUAUAGAUCUCCAAACUUGCCGUUCAUUGUGGCUCCACUAGGGUUAUCAUCAAAGAAACUGUCCAACUCAUCAAGAUCCAUCUCCCACCACUCCCCUGCCACAACAGGACAUCAACUCAGAAAUAAGCCCAACAUAAAGCUACUCCCUCCAACCUAAAUUAUCGAUCAUUUUGUCUUUUCUAUAUAUAUAGCUUUUGCUGUACACAUAUGUACAAAAUGAUUGACCUAUAAUUUGCCAUACACAUAUGUCCGGUGAUGGUGGUUCUUUUUGUUGACCGGCUAGUAGACCUUAUGGAGUGGCGGUUUGUGUGUUGUUUCCAAUGUAAGUUGUUAUGGAAGAUGCUAAGAGGUUGUUGCAGUUCUCUCUUUUUUUUCAUUUUUAUAUUGCCCAAUCUAGAUUUUAUUGUUCUUUUUAAUAUAAUCAACAGCUCUUCCUUUUGGCUUGUUAAAAAAAGGAACGGAGAGAGUAUGUCUUAAAUGAUCCAAAAGUUGAAUAAUUCACAAACCUAUAAUGAUGGGAACAUCCUUAUCAGGAUUGGGGAAUGGAUACGAGCUGGCCCCGUCUCUUGGCCGGAUGAUGAAGGCGCCAUGCAAGGUUGCCCGGAGGCAGGUAACGUGAGCAUGCCACCAGAGGGUUCCUUCUUGCCCGGUGACGUUGAACCGGUAGGUGAAGUUUUGGUUUCGGAGGAUGGGGCUUUGGGUGAUCAUCGGCACCCCAUCCGCCCAACAAUUCAGCUGCUGUUUCACCCCAUGCCUACAUUACAGACAACAGCUUCAAUAUAUAGGAGUUUUCCUGUUUUGGAAGUUGGGACACAGGAAUUUGUUGAAUGAUACAGGGGCCAGGUACUUAGCGAUUCUAUUACCAAUGGAUCGUUAUGUUGCGGGGUGACUUGUUGACGACAUGAACAACCACCGAGUCUCCUUCGGUAACCUCUAUCAUUGGCCCUGGAAAUUGCCCGUUCACCACAGUGACCAGCAUCUCCUUGUACAGAUGUGUCAUAUUCAUCUCGCUCACCUAAACAUAUAUAGAAGUUCGAACAAGUUGAAUCAAGCAUCCACGAUACAUGCUUGUUGUGAUGUGCAUUUCGUAAGACGAUUCUAACACUAGAAUAGAACUGUUUGCUUAGGGAGCGGAGGUUGGGCACGGGCGGCACCUAGCUGCCGCCACCACCAAGCUCCCCCCACCCUCUCCCAGCCACACCGCCGCCGGAAGCCCGUGCGGCAGCGAGGCCCUCCUCCUUCCCCUUCUCUCCCCACUCAGCCGCCGGAGAUCAGAGACAAGGAAGGGAAUCACAUGCUUACAACGAAUGUGUGCUCAACGACGGCAGCGGCCGCUCUUAGGGCCAUGGCAGAGAGCACAACAAUGACAGCGGAGGCAACCACUGUGGCUGCAAUUGGGAGGCUGAGGCACUGGAUCUUCAUUGUUUGCAACUGUCUUCUUCUACGAUGUCUUUGUAAUACCGUAUAUGUGUAACAGGGAAGGUAGCCUCAAUGAGUCACAAAUAGUGGUCUGAAUGCUACGUGUCUGAUCUUUUGGAGAGGCAGGAAGGGGUGGUCAAUAAUGGACGGGUCGGCGGAGUGGUGGUGUUAUUGUUCACGGUGACAUGUACAUAUAUAUGGGUAGGCCAAGGGCUGGAAAGCUGUUUUAGAAGACUGUAGCAAAUGGUAGGAGAGGGACUAAGCCCUUUUUCCUACUUGAUUGAAUCCUCCCUAUUUCUAGGGAGGAGCCGUGGCUUGCCUUACAAGCAAAUCUUACUCGACUUGAUUUAUAAGAAAUUGUUGAUCACAUAUUCAUAUUAUGAAUUUAUACCUCGAUCAUCUAUCAUUGUGCAAAUAAUAUUUUUUCCUUUUGAACCCAGUUCUGAAUCUAUUGUUUGCAACUUAAAACUCUUGCAUUGGUCCCCUUUUCUCUCGUGCUGCUUUGCAAGUUAAGCACUUUGAGUGCUAUAGUUCUUUUUAACAUAUAUAAAUUGAUGGAUUAGCUAGAGUGCCAUGAUUCUUUUGUGUUUACUUUGAAAAGAAGAAUAUGGCUUUGAUUCUGCAUUCAGACUUUGAACCUACAAGUGUGCCAGGGGGCCAUACAUUCCUAAUUUCCUGUGUAAAUUGUUGGCUGUUGUUUGCCACUAAUACAGACACCGUCGUACUUUCUAUUGGAUGUGCAUGUCCUAUUUUUCUUAUUGUAAUGCUUGUGCAUUUAUCUAGAAAACAAAAUUGACAGGGCGGCUUUCAAUUCAAAUAGUAUAAGUAAUUAGGAGUAGUGUGAUCAAUUCUCACAACUAAUAAUAAUAAUGUGUCUCUUUUUUUAUAAAAAAACACUUAUUUGGGAACAGUGGGAUCAAGUACUCUUUUUAGGUGCAUUUAAACUCAUUUUUAGCUAGAAAUUGCCGACAAAUCUGCCGUGACGUCAUUAUUGUACAAAAAUGUUGAGAAUAGCUAGAAAAUUAUAGAAAAUUACCUAGAAAUUGUAGGAAAUUAUAGAAAAAUUGUAGGAAAUUUGUAUAAGUGCUCGAAAUCAUACCAUUUAUUUUUUUGUUUCAUUCUAUUUAAAUGUUGUGUAAAUGGUAGAAAUUUGUAUAAGUAUUGGAAAUUAUCUAUAAAUGUUGUAUAAGUGAUGUCAUUAUUGUUUCAUUCUAUUUUUGUUGUCAUUUUCUAGCAGUGUUUCAUUCUACUUUACAUAUUAAUUGUAAAUUGUAUGGCAUGCCAUGUUACAUAUUAGUCAUUCUUAUUAUAAGUGUUUAGUUCUUUUAUAUUAUACUAGUUACAAUGGCACGAUCAGACGACGAGGUCCUAUAUGAGAUGAUUGCUCAAGGCGCCCCUCAAGCAAAUGAAGAGAUCGAUCACAGCCAGGCUGACAUGUACCUCAACCUGGCUAGUGAUGGCAUCGAGGAGCAACCAGUUGCUAAGGGAGGCAAUGUGGAGGAACAAGUUGCCGAGGGAGGCAAUGUGGAGCAACCAGUUGGCGACAUAUUGCAAGUAUUAUACGUAAACAUUAUUUCAAUUACCAUCUUAUCAAAAGAAACAUCAUCAAGUAACAGUCCAAUCAUGCGACAUUUCAAUUGUCAUUUUUUAGCCAUCUGGAUCGAGCAAAAAGCCUAAAAAGAAAUGAGGCAAGAACAAGAAGGCCGAGGGCCGUAUCAUCAUCACAGAAAUUGAUGAAGAUGGUGAACCGAUUGCUCCUCCCAAAGCUAAGACAAAGCUGGUUAAUCAAAUUGGGUUCCUUGUCAGAGAUAACAUUCCAAUCAGCUAUCAAAAUUGGAGAAAACCUGACCGCGUCCUCGAGGACACAGACCCGCUCGUUUAUGUCCCUAACCAAGAGAAAGCUAUGUUAUGGGAACAAGUAAAAGAAAACUUCAUGUUCCAAAAUGUAGAUGAAGCCAAAGUGAAAGAAUGGGGCAUGAAGAAGGGUGCAAUUGCGUUUCAGACAUACAAGAAAAUAUUGACCAAAGAGUACAUAAAGACGGGGCUUGAACCAGAUUACAGUUUGCACCUGAAGAUAAGGGAUUACUGGGAUUCCUUUGUACAGUUCAAGGGGUCAAGCAAGAGCCAGGGCUCAACUCAACCAACACUAGAAAUGCCUUGUAGAAGAAAUACUUCCAUCAUCUUGGGACAGGAGGUUACAAGUCUGUGGUCGUGAAAUGGCAAAGGAUGGAAGAUGACCUAAUUGCCAGGGAACAGUACCAUAUACUCUCAAAUGGCCUGAGCGAUCAAAGAAUUGGUUUUAUGGUCAUGGCGGCAGACUCAAGCCUGAAGAUGGAUCAAUUGUAACCAGUGAUCAAAUAAGAAAAGUGGCUAGUACACUAGAUGAAUUAGUGAAAAAAACAACCGAUGGAUCCUUCGGGCCGUAUCGAGAGAGGGAUGAGCUGACAAUGGCACUUGGAACUCGCGAACACCCUGGACGAUGCUGAGGAAUAGGUGUCAUUCCGUGGAAGUUUGGAUUUCGUCAGUUCAUUGAAUCAUAUAGAAGUCGCAAGAGAAGCAAGGCCGACCAAGCACGACAACUGCGAGAGCUGCAACAAGUAGAAGCAUCAGAGGAAAGAAUAGCGGAAUUAGUAGACGAGCAUGUGGCCAUAGCUCUAAGCAAACAAGCCAGUCAACAAGCACCUGCUACAGCAUUAGGGUCACAUGUCUACGUAAGCCCGACUCAGCGUCGAAGCAGUGUUGCUUCCACAGAAGCCACAGCUGGAGGAAGUACUGAGGUCAUUAAGGAACGGCACCUCAUGGACGACAUCACAGGGAGAGCCCAGUGUGAGCUUCUUACUCCCAUAAGAAACAAGCUUAUAGUGGUGUCUUAUGGUGUGGUUGAGCAAUCGAUGCAAGGCCAAACACUACAUGGCAUGCAGAUUCAAGGUCACUAUGCCAAAGUCGGGAUGGAUUGAGUGGCCAACGGUUGGGAGGACCUAAAAUUGGAGAUCCCUGAAGGUGAUAGGAAAAAGAAUCUAGGACAAGCUAUCCAUGGUUGGAUUCAAUGGCCGAAGCGCUUCAUAAGGAUUACAAAGUCGAAUCCCUCGAUCUUGUGAUCUUCUCCUCAAGGCUCAAUGGCAAGAUCACCUACGCCAUCUGCCAGGGCACACACUCCAGUACUAGACAGGUCUCAUAGCAUGAGUGUAGUACCAGAAAGGGAUCCAAGCAUGAGUGCACCUCCCCCUCCUAUGAAGAAGUCUUCAGUUCCUACUCCACCUUCACCUCCUAAGAAGAAGCAGAAGGACAAGGCACCAACUGAGAAACCACUGGAAAAUCAUAAGCUUCGGUCUUUCAUCAAAAGAAUGGAGGAGGAACAAAGGAAAAAGCAAGAGAAACCUCUGCUAUCUGAUUACGAUAGGCAGAUCACAAAGCAGGUAGCUCAUAAGAGGAAGAAAAGUGGGAAAUCUAUUUCUCAACUUGGAGAGCAAUCCAACCAAUCGGUUGCCCCGCUUGUGGUACAAUCUGAAUGGGAGAAGAACCUGUUGGAGUUCAGUAAAGAUACUAAUCUGACAAUAGCACAACUUUGAGGGGAGGAUGAGAUCCCAAUGCUCCCCGUGCCUAACAAAUGGGAAUAUGAGUAUGGUAAAGACCUCGUGAGUCCGAAGUUGGUGAAAUAUCUCCCAACAAAGAUAUACAAAUUGCACCAGUGGUACAUGCAGGCUGCAUCAUAUGGUUGACACGAUGGAAGUUCAGAUUAGUCAUGAGCAUUACUUCCGUGGCGAUGACAUCAUACAGGUGCCCUUGGAGGAACUGUUCUAGCUAUACAAUCAAGAAGCACUAGACAAGCCACUAAUUAGUUGCUGAGUCUUGUAAGUCUUUAGUAUAUUCCUCUAACUUCAAAAUCCUCGCUCUAGUUAAUUUUCGAUAUAUUAACCCCUAUUCGAUUUUGUAUCGUGCAGGAUGGAGAUGCAAUAUUGUCGUAGGAUAGGAUACCAUCACAUAGGCUUCAUGGAUCCCUAUAUUAUUUUCUAGGAUAAUCUAAAAACAAACAAGAUGAGACUAUGAAGAAUAUAAAUAAGUUCCUCGAUAAGCACUGGGAGAAGAGUUGCAUAUUACUACCUUGGCACUUCGAGUGAGUGUUUUUCCCAUCUCUUUCUUUUCCAAACUAGCACUUAAACAUAAUACUAACUACCUUCAAGUUGGAUGUAACACUACCAUUGGGUACUCGUUAUUAUUAUCCCCGAUCAAAUCUUAGUGCAUGUCUGGGACUCCUUGAGGAAACCCAAAAAAAGUUUUGAUGACCUCAUGGGCACUCUGAACAAAUGCUAGACUCAAUUGCGUAAAGCUCACAAGGGUGCUUUCAACAAUAAACUUGUUUUACAUACAUAUUUUUCGGUAUGUGUUGAAUUUUCACAUCUCGUGACACUUCCUUUAACACAAUAGAUAUUUCAUAACUUUUUUCCCAUAUAUAUAGUGUUUGAGAUAGUAGGAGGGUACUCAUUAUUGCUGAUACUAUGUUUGUGACUUCAUCCACAAAUUUGUGGGUCCGAUGCAUACCACCAAACACCAAAUAACCGUACGUGUACAAAAUUAAUAUGCUUAUACAUAUGGUUAUACUUCAAAAAAGUUUCAGUUGUUCAACAAAUUUAUAUUAAGUAUUUCUAAUUCAUUUGCAAAUGAUGUACAGGAAGGACGGAAUAGGAAGGAAGAACUAAACCACACUGAAAUUUUCAGGAAAAUACAAGAUCAACUAUGUGGAUUUCUUUUGGACGAGGUCACAAAUCCUGCGGGGGAGUUCCAUAGUUCAGGAUCUAGUCUAGUGCCAGAUUUUGAUUAAGUUUCAAUUCUAAUAUUAUUCAUAUAUGUGUAUGCACAAUAUGUCUAUAUAUAUAUAUAAUAUUAUCUUAAAUGUUAUAUUAAAUCUCAAUAGAACUUUCCAUAAAUUAGUGUAUUAGAACUAGUAUACGAUAAAGUAAACAAAUAUGAAAUAUGAAUAUAGACUAAAGGAACAGAAAUAAGAAAAGAAAGGGAGAAAAAACUUAGUAUCUGUUGGGGAUACCAACCGGUACUAAUGAGGGCACCUCCCCGCGUGGUGUGGGAAGCCCUUUAGUACCGGUUGGUAUCCCCAACCGGUACUAAUGAGUACAAUUUAGUACCGGUUAUUUGAACCGGUACUAAAGUCCCCCUCUAGUACCGGUUUGCCAGUACCGGUUGUGCAUCCAGUACUAGAGAGGGGUUACUGACCGUAGACGUCAUUUUUCCAGUAGUGUUCAACAUAUCAACAAACAACACAAUAUCUAAGAGCUCCUAAUGAUCAGAGUUUUAUAUAUUUCACUUUAUUUCAAAAGUUAAACAUAAAUCGAAUAUGAUUUGUUGAGUAUCUACGAGUUUAGAUAACAUGUCUAAUCGAACUUUUACUGUAAGAUUUCCAUACACUACACAAUACCUUCAUGAAUUAUGUUUGCUUUUUGGAAUGCCUGAUUGUUAUAUAUUAUACUUUAGAAUAUUUUGCAAUUAUAGUUUAGAACUUUUAGGUAUGGUUUGCUAAUUAAGCUAACGGAUCAUGACAAGUGUAUUGAACUUGGACAGGAUAACACGAAUGAGAGGACAUUAACUUAACAGACAAGCUUGCGGUAGCAAGGCCUCUUACGCGCACCUAUCGGCUCAAUGACAUCAUCACGCUUCUAUGAGAUAUGGAUGAUACUCAGUCGAUGCAUCGGCUCUCAACAGUAGCAUUCUAAUGUUAGGGAUCCGACUGCUAGCAAUAAGAGGGGCAUGGGUAAAGAUCUAUCGGACCUAGUAUAAAUAAAGCAACAAAAGCAUGCAAGGUCGAACUAGCCGAUACUAUCAGAUAACUGGUGAACGCUUAAACAAGACUAGGAAGCCAAUGAGAAUAACCUAAGCAGUUCAAUAACUGUGAGCGACAUCGAAGAUAAAUGGAAUAUUGGACAAAACCUAGAAAGUUCUAUUUGCAUCUAAGAUAACUCGAUAACUAGCCACACGAAAAGAUUAGAAUAUUGGAUGAUGCCUAGAAAAUUUUAAUAUAGAUAACAUAAUGACCGGGUGACGGUACUUACAAGUUCGUCGGAUAUCGAAGCUGGUGCAGCCCUGCGCGCAAGUAGAAACUCGUCGAAAAGCUACAUUACUCCUACUCCUAAGGGUUUGACGGCGUGGUGCCAAAAGAUUGUAUUGAUUAAUCGAGAGAUAAAAUUUUGCAAGCCUCAGGGUGCAGAUAUUUACACCCUUCAGGUUUCCUAGACUCCUUAUCAGCUACGACAGUGAGCCGUACAAAACUUACGUAACACUGAAAAAAAUAAAUAUUAAGAUACAUGGAUUCUAAUUUUCCAUAUGUAGAAUCCUUGCUAAUGAAGCUCCCUCCGAUCCUUCCGAACCGCAUGUGUGAUUAGCGUGACUAGCCUGUACUUCCUUCCCAUGCAGUAACUUCCUCUUUUUUUUUUAAUUCUAAUCACCUUUGCAUGCACGUGCUGGCCUGCCCUCUCUGCAUGCGCUACCUCUAUUCUAAUUAUCUUUCUUUUAUGGGAUUUCACCGACUAAAUUUUGAGGUUGAUAAGAGGCGCGCGACACCAGGUAGACAGCAUCCUCAGGUGGCGCGGUGAUGGCCCUUGGGGGCAUGGCGGCCGGUGGCUCACAGGCUCGCGAGGUGAUCCUACGAGGACUCUAUGGCUGGCGGAAACGCCCCCCGCGGGCAAGCGGUGAUGGUGCUCCCCGCUGGCACAUGCAACCGGUGGUGUGUCUUCUACCGCGGUGGUGCAGUGCAGCGGCACCGCCUAAUGCGGGUAACGAUCGAAGACUUGGACGCUCACACAGGGGGCGGUUGUGGCGUGUCAAGGGAGCGGGUAGAAGUAAGUGUGCCAAUUCGUCCAAUAAUAGUUCGUCCCUUUUUCAUGCAAAUCUGGGAAUUCCACGAUAUUAUUGAAAAAAGUGAGCUAGAGUGUUACACCUUGAAAUUUUUCAAUUUCAGGAUGUGUUUAAAGGGAAUAAAUAAACAAUAAUUUUCUCCUAAUUUUAAAAUUUUUGCCAACAUUUAUUCUGAAAUCUAGUGUAGGAAAAAUAAUUUUUUGUUUUUCCAAAAUUAAAUAAGGUUAUUCCGUGUGUUGUCUAGACCCUCCUGAGAAAUUUUCAGCUAUUUUUGGAAUUUAUUCUCCUUUUUCUAGAGCUAAAUCUAAUUUUUGGAAGGCUCUAGAAUCCUUUUUAUGAGCUUUAAGUAUUUUAUUUGGACUCCUCUUGUCCCAAUCUAUGCUAGAAAAUUUCCUGGAAUUUUUGAUAUUUUCAUAAUAUUUUUCGUGGCUUAAAUGAAAUAUCUAGGUUUUUUGGAUUUUUAUUUACACGGAAAUGAAUUCUGAAAAAAAGAAAACCUUCUCUAUCCUAUUGGGCUGAGCCCGCGGGCCUGAGCUUCUCCGGCCAACCCGUUCCGGCCCAGCCGCAGGCCCGGCUAGGCCCAUCGGCUGCCAGAGCCCGGCCGCGCCGCCGCCGCCUCUCGGCAUGCAUGCGCAGCACGCCAGGCCGUGCCUCGCGCUCCUAUAAAAGGGCGGCCCCUGAGCCCUCAUUCGCGCCUUCCUAUUGUGCCACCACCCUGCCUCGCCCAACUCUUGCGUCGUGCGCUGCCGCGAGGAGCUACGCCGAGCCAAGCUCUGCCGCGAGUUUUCGCCGGCCGAUUCGCCGCGUUCGUCGGCCGCCGUAGGGAGCUGGAACCACAGGGAGCACUACGGUGCCGAGAUGCACCUAGACAGCCCAACCCCAUCUUCAAUUGACCGCUGGAGUGUCUCCGAGAUGUGAGGCCCAAGCUGCCGCCGUCCAUCGUCCGCCACCAGAUUCCGACCAUCUCUGUCCAUCCCCGCCGUCGGUAAGAAGCUCCGCAAGAUCCCCUCCACUUCAUCCUGGUUCUCCCGACCUCGCCUGAGCUAUUUGCCGCUAGGGCCACCGCUAAUUUUGGUCGGCUAGAGCUCCACCCACCAUGUGUGAAAGCUCCUUGAGCUUUUGUGUUUUAACACCUCAGGUUUUAUAGUAAGACCCCUGAAGACCUCUGUAAUUCCUCACAGGACCUUUUGUGUCUUUGUGAAUUUGCAGAUAACCCCCAGGAGGUUUUAGAUUCCCUAGAUCUAGACCAGCUCCUGCGGUUUUGCAGAUCUAACCCCAACCUUAGAUCUAAUCACGAGCACUAUUCCAUGUGUCUUGUGAAUCCUCCUUGCUAGCCCUUGGAGUCUAUAGUUAAUCAUGAAUAGAACCUUACAACCUUGUUUAAUCCAUAGUUUUCACGUCUUAGCUCUGUUUCAAUCCGUUCAAGUUGCGAUAAGUUAACAUGAAGUAGACGUUAGUGGUGAUGUUUUCCUUCAAGCAUAUUUUUGAAAAUAAAUUUGUUUAAUGCCUGAUAAACGUGUUUCUCUGAAUAAAAUCUACUUAGAGUUAUACACCAUUUUUCAUAAUAAACAUCAAUUUGAAUAAUGCCUACUUAAUAUUCUUUUCUAAAUAAAAGUCAAUUAAGUUAUAAAUUAGUUUUUUUUAUAAACUAAAGUUAAUUUUAUUAACUCUUAUCUAAAUAGUUCUUCCAAUUAAAAGCUAAUUAGAGAUAUACCUCGACUUUUCAUAAAUUAAAUUAAAUUUGAUUAGUGUUUAUUCAAUUUGCUUUCUAAAUAAAAUUUACAUAGGAUAUAUCUCGAGUUUUCAUAAUUAAAUGUUAAUUUGGAUAAUAUAAACAUGAAGGUGGUUUUGAAUUAUAAUUGGAUUGUCCAACCUAAAUCAUAAAGCUAUACGCUUAGAUGUUUACAUAUACUUUAUUUUCAAAUUAAAUGUUUAAUUUGCAUAAAUUGUACUUAAAUGUCUAUAUAUAAAAUUUGACUAAGCAUUACAUCAUCUUUUCAUAUGUAAAUAUAAAUAUGACUUGAUUAAUUCUAACUAAGGAUAUUUCUCUAAAAUAUCUAUACAUUGUUUUUCUCAACUAAAAUAAAUGAAGCAUGCAGCUCUUGUCUUUUCUUUUAUAAUUCAAAUCACUCGAUAGCUUUAUCUUCUCAACCGUCGUUCUGUUUUAAGCGUUUCUUGGAUUCUCACGAUCUUAUAAUCGAGCCCUAUCCUUUAGUAUGCUCUUUUAAAGCUUUUUUUGGUGUAUUGUUCUUAGUUGUACUUGUUUGUUGCUUGUAUGUUUGUACCGGUGAUUGCUUCGAGUAAAAGGAUCGCAGCUGGAAAGAUUUGGAAAUUAAGAGUUCCAAGAGAGCAAAAGUUGAAGAGCAGUAAGAGUAACUUUUCGUUGGAGAAAGGCAGGUGUAUCCUUGUGCUUUUGUCCCAAUAACUUUAUUUAAUCACUAUUGCAUAUGCUUGUAUUUAAUUUGAGGGGUCCUAUUAAGGUUUUCCUAGUUUACAUGAUCAUUCAUUGUCAACAUGGGUUUAUCUUUUUGUUGGGUAUCUAUGCUUAGUUGCUUUACUUGGGUUAUGGUGGUUUUAAUGAACUCAAUGAUUAAACUUAUUUUAUUUAUGCUAUACCUUUCACUAAUACAAGAUCACAAUGCUUAAUUGGAACAUGGAGCGACCACCCAGGAAAAUAGUACAACCACAAGGACUAUAUGGCUCUGGUCUUGGCUAAUUUAUUAGAGACUUUAGUCUGGGGUAAUCUUACUAAAAGGGCAAGAGGGGAGGGAUUGAUGGGGUAUAACCCUGUCCUCUUUGGAAGGGAGCUCAGCUAAGAUCCUAUGCCCACUAGGGAGGUUUAUGCUCUGCUUCGACCUGAAUCCUUCGCGGGUUACCACUUGCUAACGAAUCUUUCUAAAGGCCUCGUAGCGUCCCUAUGCAAUCACACCUCGGAAGUGUGGUAUGGUGCCUAGUUAGCACCGCAUGGUUGGGUCCAAAGUUCUUUGAACUAUUACGUGAGUUGUGGGUAAAGUUGUGCGACCUCUGCAGAGAUGUAAAACUGAUCGAUCAGCUGUGCUCAUGGUCAAGAGCGGCCUGAACCCUUACAUGAUUAAUAUACUUGAAGAUGGACUUCAAUGGUGGUUAUGGUUGUGCCAUAUGCUUAUGGCUUAUGUUUAUGUUAAAUGUGGAUUGAUAAAUACUUAUACCUUAGUAAUCAGGUACUAAUAAAAUUGACCAACUAAAAUUGCUUAUCGUAGUAAACCAGUAAGCCUUUCCUUUUUUAAGUCUUGCAUUCAUAUUUUCCCCACACUUGCUGAGUACGACAUGUGCUCACCUUUGCUAUAACCAACAUUGCUCAGAAGAAGAAGGUCCUAUGAAUUUGUUGUGAAGAUGGUGCUGAGUUCUAGGCGUACACAACCCCUGAUCAAUUGCCUAUGAAGUUUGGAGCCUUCAUUUCCAGGAUUAAGCUGUAAAUCUCUAAUAGACUCUAUAUCUUUUUACGUGAUACUGUUGCUGUCAUUCACUAAUGAUAUCACUAUGUGUAUGAAACUAGAUCCUAGCAUAGUUACAGGUAGCACUUGGUUUUGUUUUAAAGCCGGGUGUGACACAGAGCUUUGAAUAUCUUCAUUUAUUUCUAAAUUCUAGUUUUCUCUAUCCAUACCGGUUUGUACAAAUGUCGGCUCUGGUGCUUAUCAUACGGGUCGGCUUCAUUAUGUUGGUAUGAUAACCGAUACAGAUGACAUUUUAAUGAGUCAUCAUCAAGGUUUGUUUGACCUAUUAGAGAUUUGAAACUCAUGACUCAGGGAGUGUGAGAGGAAAGGGGUGCCUCGCUUUUGGUGGAGAUAUGUACACUGGUUGAGAACUGAAUAUUAGUCCGGAUGGUAGGGAGCAAAUCUUCCGGAAAACCAUCCGGGAUAAAUGAAUCGAGACAAAAGGGGGGUUUUUGUCCCAGGUCAACCAACUGGGACUAAAGACCUCCUUUUAUCCCGGUUGGUAUUUAAUAAAAAGGAUUUAUAUCUCAAAAAAAUAUUAGAAAUCCCCAAGAGGCCCCCCCCAAACGCGCAAGUCGCAAGUCACACGAUUUUCACACAAAAUAUGCGCGUGCGUGGUCCGUGUGAUUCGAACCCAUGACCUCAAGCCUUGCGCGUAGCUUCCUUGCCAUCCCACCUACACAGCAUAUCUAACUAUAUAGGGGAUGCAAUCCAUUUGUAUUAACUCGUGGGGGUCCUUUUAUCCCGGUUGGAAACACCAACCGGGAUAAAACCCCCAUUUUAUCCCAGUUGGUAUUACAAAUCAGGAUAAAAGGGUUCGAGGGAUUUAGUCCUUUUUCAGCUACAUGUGGGGGACCCAUUUAUCCCAGUUGGAAACACCGACCAAGAUAAAAGACCCCCUUUUAUUCUGAUUGGUAUUACAAACAGGGAUAAAAGGCCCUCGACCCUUUUAUCCCGGUUGGUAAUACCAACGGGGAUAAAAGGGGAGUCUUUUAUCCCGAUUGGUAUUUCCAACCGGAUAAAAGGCCUGUCAGGGUCUUUUUUUCCCACUAGCCUUUGCAACUGGGAUAAAAGGUCCCGGUUGAUGAGCUCUUGCCAGUGGCCGAGCUUUCGUCCCGGUUUGUGAACCUUUUAUCUCGGGGCUACUUUAAACCGGAACUAAAGGGGGCGGAUCGACAAUCAGUGCUCUACUAGUGGUAUCAAGUAGUACAAAGUAGUACCUACGGUGGUUUGUCUUGUUUACUAUAUAUGGUACCAUUCAAAUUAAGUGUACUUUUGUGGUCAGCCAUCUGAGCCACUGCUGCACAUCUUAGCUCGUGAGCUGUGUCCUGGUGCGCGUGAUCCACGAGGGAAGGCGCGGUGGAUGCUCAGGCAUCGUGCAUUAAGUCUGACUACGCACCGGUGCGUUGCUACGGAAAAAAGAUCAAGUGAAUAUAUUAUUUUUACUUUUAAUACUAUAAAUAUUAGACAUUUCAUGUUUUUUAUGCUAUCAAAAAGUCUUUAUGGACAUUUUUGAUCGCUACUAUGUGCUGGCAAGAACCUAAUAAUAUGUACAAGUUUUCGAGCACGGCCACAAGCUCGCGCGACCUAAUUACCAUUCCGAGGCAGUCUCAACUGUUGGCUCAAGAUCUGACGAUUCAUUGGUAGAAAGUAUUAGUCCCGGUUGGUAGGGAGCAAAUCUUUCAAAAAAACCAUCUGGGAUAAAGCAAUUGAGAUAAAAGGGGAGGGUCUUCAGUCCCGGGUCCCUCAACCGGGACUAAGGACACCCUUUAGUCCGAGUUGGUUUUUCCAACUGGGACUAAAGUGCAUACAUGAUGCAUGAAAUUUACAGGCGCCAUGGUGCCUGUAAUUUCAUGCAUCACGUACCCCUUUAGUUAACCUUUAGUAGUUGAGAAUUUUUUUAUAAUGAAAUCAAACUAGUAUUUAAACGAAUCAAACUAGUAUCUAUACGAUGACUAUAUGUACAAUUCUUAGUAUAUGUACAAUUAAUUACUAUAUGUAUAAUUCUUAGUAUAUAUACAAUUAAUUCCUAGGAUCUUUCCGUCGAGGUGUUGCUCGGUGCGUCUUAAUUUUAUCCAUCGUAAUGAAAUUCUCCUUGUGGAUUUAUCAGCUCGUCCACUAGGAAUCCUAUGAGAGGUUCACAUAUUACCUCUAUUUUUUUCCUUCUCCAAGAUGCUAUGUUGAAUAUUAUGCAUCUGCAAUUUGGAAAUAUGUGAAUAAUAUUACAUGAAUAAUUAAAUAUAAGGAGCUAAAAAAUAAUUAACUAUUACUAGUUUUAUUUUACGUACUUUUUUUCAUGCUCCGUCAACCUGGCAUUGUGUGACACAAAACUGUCCAACUGGGAGUAAAGGUCCGUCGCAUUCCAGCCUACCGUAGCACACCAUAUUUUCUCCCGGGCCUACUUUAAACCGGGACUAAAAGAGGAGGAUCGAAAGUCAGUUCUCUAAUUGCUGACAUUCCAAUUUUGUAGUGAUGACAGCUCGUCUGGAACCCUAACUUCACCCCUUAGGCCCUAAUUUCACUUUCCCCACGUCUCUCGCUUCCUAUCUCUUUAUGUUUAUUUUUAUAAUCGGAAACGUGAUAUUGGACUAACUUUAUCUCUAGACGUGUGAAUUUAAGAUUUCGGAAUAUUUCAAAAAUAUAUAUAUAUGCAAAUUAGGUCGUAAAUAAUGUAUAAAAAUAUCAACAAUAUAGUUUCAACAACCAUUCAAAAAUUAAACAUUAAUAAUAUGAAAUCGGCAUGCAUGGUGUCGGGUCCCUGGUGUGCUAUCCGUGUGUGAGGCGGAGUGAAACUGAGAGUGGAUGUAUGGUGCCUGACAAUCACAAGACAUCUCCAUGUUCAAACACAACCACAAUGGAAAUGCCUGCCGACAUCUCCAUGUUCAAACACAACCACAAUGCAAAUGCCUGCCCUUGGAUCCGACUGAUAGCUAGAUUUGUGUACUGACCACUGCUGGCCUGAUACGCGUGAACCACGAGGGCGCGUGAACCACGAGGGCAAGACCAGUGGCCUAUCACGGUGAGGUGUCUCACUCAGACAUGGUGCAUAGUCUGAUGUGAGUCUGCUUAUUCCUAUCUCUUUCAACAGUGUUAGACAUCCAUCGAUCAUAAUUUGUGAAGUACCUGGAUUUAUUACUUAAUACAGCAUUUCCCAUCUAACUAUUAUCAUAAGGUUUCCAUACACUGCACAACCAUGAUGAAUUCUUGAUUGAUUUUUGGAACGCCCAAAGCACGAUCAGUAUUAUCCUUUAUAAUUUCAUUACAACCACGAUACAUUCUAUGAGAUAUGGAUGAUACUCAAUGGAUGCAUCGGCUCUCAACAGUAGCGUUCUAACGUUAGGGAUCUGACUGCUAGCAAUACAAGGGGAAGGGGUAGAGAUCUAUGGGACCCUAGUAUAGAUAAAGCGAUAAAAGCAUGCAAGGUCGAACUAGCCGAUACGAUCAGAUAACUGGUGAGCGCUUAAACAAGACUAGGAAGCCGAUGAGAACAACCUAAGCAGAUCUAAGCAGUUCAAUAACUGUGAGCAACGUCGAAGACAAAUGGAAUAUUGGACAAAGCCUAGAAUAACUAGCCACAUGAUAAAAGAUUAGAAUAUUGGACGAUCGCUAGAAACUUUUAAUAUAGAUAACUUAAUGACCGGGUGACGGUACUUACAAGUUCGUUGGAUAUCGAAGCUGAUGCAGCCCUACGCGCAAGAAUAAACUCGCCGAAAAGCUACAUUACUCCUACUCCUAAGGGUUUGGCGGCGUGGCGUCAAAAGAUUGUAUUGAUUAACUGAGAGAUAAAAUCUUGCAAGCCUUGGGGUGCAUAUAUUUAUACCCUUGUGGUUACCUAGACUCCUGAUCAAGCCGUACAAAACUUACCUAAUGCUGAAAAAGGAAAUAUUACGAUACAUGGAUUCUAAUUUCCCUUAUGUUGAAUUCUUGCUAAUGAAGCUCCCUCGGAUCCUCCCUAUCUGCAUGCGUGAUUGGCGUGACUAGCCUGGACUUGCUUCCCACGCGGUAACUUCCUCUUUUUUUUUUUAUUCUAAUCACCUUUGCAUGCACAUGCUGGCCUACCCUCUUUGCAUGCGCUACCUCUAUUCUAUAUCUGUCCUUUAUGGGAUUUCACCGGCUAAAAUCCAGUGUCAACACAGCUUGUUAUCGUUUCUCAUUUUACUUUGACAUUGUGCAGUAUGUGGAAAGAUAAUAAGAAGCCUCUAUAGACAUACCAAUCUUCCAGCUGAUGUACUGCUUGUUACACCAACGUGACUCACUGCCGCUUUAAGCUUGUACACCACAGUUCUUGCCGUCCAAGCACCACAACUCCAACCGUGUUUCAUGCAAGCAGCUGCUGGCACCGUCGUCCGCGCUUGCACAGGAAUUAAAUGUCCCACGCUACUAUCUCUGAAUUCUAAUUUUGCCUAUUGUUUGGCAGGAAGUGCUAUGGACGCUGCAUCGCACGGACCGCGUGGGUUUAGUUUAAUUAUUAGUGAAUGGCUGGAUCUGGAUCUGAAUUUAAUCGCGUGUCAGCAGUUGCCAUUGGGCUUUGUCUGGUGCCAAUGUCAAGCAGAAUACACCCUUUCCUUUUUAAGUAUUAAACGGUGUUGAGCCGUGCACAUCGGCAGUUCCUGCUCCCAUAAGCUGCGCGGUGCAGUGCUGGUGUCGCCGGAUGGGACUGAACGUACACCGACCACUCACUUCACAACGCAACUAAACUGCACUGCAACUACUGCUGCAAAUAGAAUCGACAACUCACGUUAUGUAACACCCUAAUUUUUAACUUUUGCAAAUUAAUAAAAUUUAUUAGAAUUUGCUAGAAUUUAAUUGCUUGUGUUUAAGGACCUAACGAUUUUCUAAGGUUACAUUUAAUUUCUUAGGCAUUUAAAUCUUUUCUAAAAUAAGUUAAUGAAUCAUAGGCUUUCAUUGUUGCAUUCCUACUGGUGCAUUGAUUUUUGUUUGUUUGAAUUCAAAUUUGUAUUUGAAUUUAUUUGUUUGAAUCCCUUUUAACUAGCACCCUCGCCUCGCACCCAGCGCCCUCGCCUCGCACCCCCCCAACCUCACCAAACUCUAGCGCCCUCGCUUCACACCCAGCACCGCCGCUGCCCGAGCUCGAACCUGCUGCCAUCGAUCUCCUCCGUCGUUGCCUUCCCGUUGACAAGAUUGUCACCCAAAGCACUGUGAGGAGGUGAGGAAGCCGCCCAUGACGAUCCAGUGCACUCCCGUGCCUUCUUUCGCACACACGAGCUCGCCGGACUUGCUGCCGUUGGACCAAGCCGCUCUGCCGCAUCACCUCGCGCCGUCAUCACCUCGGUCGCCGUGGAAGCCACCUAGAUCCCGAGCCACUACUCGUUGAAAACCAUGAGCUGCCACUCGAGCUACGCUCGAUUCCGGCGAGGCAGCCCCGCUUCGCUGCCAAGCGCCAUCGUCUCCGUCGCCUGCGUGCCGCCUGUCUCCUCCCGACCGACCACAGCUAUCUGAUUGAGUGCCAACGGACCAGAUCGGAUCUUACCAAAGUCUGUACCGGUGCCACUUGCGCUGCUUUUGCAAAAAGGCCCUCCUACUUUUCUCUUUUUGCACCUGAGAUCAAUCUAGUUCAAAAGUAAUUAGAUUUAGAUCCUUUUUCUUCGGUUUAGACCCCCGUGCUUUUAUAAAAUCCCGCCCGCCAUCGUAGAUCUUCUCUUUUAUGCGUUAGACCUUCUGUUCAUAUAUUUAAUUAGGUUUUAGCCCUCGGUUUCUCACAUUAAGCCCCUGAACCUUGUUUAGCUCAUAUAUUUAGCGUUUUAAAUCCGUUUUAAGUGAUUCUUGCGCCUAUGAGUUUGUGUUGACACAUAGAUUAGUUUUAUGGUCUUGUUUUGCUCUAUUGCUACUGUUUGAUGUAAUGUUUUCUUAAUUUAGUCCUUUCUUUGCUUGUAUGUACUUGUUUGAUGCACAUAGAAGGAUUGCGGAUCUUGGGAUUUGAAGAGCAAGGCUUUGAAGACUUUGAGCAGCAAGACCAAGUUCGGGAAUGAAAGUAGUGUCGUUAUCACAACUUGAUCAUAUGCAACCUUUACUUUCAAGUUCAGUAUACAUAUGCUAUACACUUUAAGUAUAUAAACAUGAUGGGUCCUAUUUAAUGUGUGUCUAGGUUUUAUGCCUACACCUUGAUCAACCUGGGUUUACUUUACAAUUGGGUAGUUCUUGCUUAGUUGCUCUAACUGGGUAUGGUGGUAUUAAUGAACCAAUGCUUAAACUUAUUUUAUUUAUGCUAUACCUUCCAUUAAUACAAGAUCACCAUGCUUAAUUGGAACAUAGAGAACCACCCAGGAAAAUAAUACAACCAUAAGAACUAUAUAGCUCUGGUCUUGGCUAAUUAAGAACAUAGAGAACCACCCAGGAAAAUAGUACAACCAUAAGAACUAUAUAGCUCUGAUCUUGGCUAAUUAAUUAGAGACUCUAGUUUGAUGCGGUCUUCCCGGAAGGGCAAGAGGGGUGGCGGCAGAUGGUGUAUAACCAUUCUCUUAGACUGAUAUGCUCUAUGGUAGCUUCGCAGUCUUGUGUGAGGUUUAUGCUCUGUUACUAAUCCGGAAACCUUAGCAGGCUACUUCUUGUUAGGGAAUCUUAGUAAAGGUCUCGUAGCGUUCCUAUGCAAUCUCACCUUAGAAGUGUGGUAUUGUGCCUAGUCCGCACAACAUGGUUGGGUCUAAAUCUCUUUUGAACUUUUACGCUACUUGUGGAAAAAGAUAUACAACCUCUGCAGAGUGUAAAACUGUUAUAACAGCCGUGCUCAUGGUCAAGAGUGGCCUGAACCCUCACAUGAUUAAUCUAUCAGAAGUUGAAUUUAAUUUUUGUUAUUUAUUGCUGUUAUCUUUAUUUAUGUUCAUGCUUAAUGCGGGUGGUAUAAACUUAUACUUAGUAAUUGCUAAUAAAAUAUGACCAACCAAUUAAAAUGCUGAAAUGCUAUUAAACCGUAGCAUAUCCUUGCAUAGCCUUACACUACACAUUCCCCACGCUUGCUGAGUACCAACCAUAAGUGUACUCAUCCUUGCUAAAACCGCUAGUAAAGGAAUAUAAUCCCUAACAAAAAUCCAAUUUGAUUCACCGAGUGCUACCUAUAUGUAUCCCAGGAUCAAUUUCAUACAUAUAGUGACAUCAUUAGUGAAUAACAGUAAUAGUAUCACGUAAAGGAAUAUAAAGAAAGACUUACAAGUAUAUCUGAGAUAUAGAGCUUAAUCCUAGAAACGAAGGCUCCAAACUUCAUAGAAAAUUAAUUGGGGGCUGCGUACACCUAGAACUCAGUAUCAUCUUCAGAAAACUUCACAUACCUUCCUUUUCUGAGCAGUAGUAAGCAAGGGUAAGUACACUUAUGGUUGGUACUCAUCAAGGCCAUAAGAAAUAACCAGAAUAACGAUUUAAGUCCAUCUUCAAGUUUAUUAAUCAUGUGACGGUCUAGGCCGCUCUUGACCAUACGCACGAUUGAGAUAUCAGUUUUACACUCUGCAGAGGUUGUACACUUUCACAACAAGUCGUGUAAAAGUUUAGAAGAAUUUUGGACCCAACCAUGUUGUGGAAAAGUAGGCACUUAUCACACUACCGAGGUGUGACUACAUUGGGAUGCUACGAUUCCUUUACAAAAAUUCCCUAAUAAGUGGUAACCUGCUAAGGUUUCGAUGUCUGGCGUGCAUAAACCUCCCUAAUGAGCAUAGUAUCUUAGCAAAGUCCACUUCCCAAGAGGAUCGGGCUAUACAACGACUCAAUCCCUCCUUUUUCCCUUUUGGUAAAAUUACUCCAAACUAGAGUCUCUCAUUAAUUAGCCAAGACUAGAGCCAUGUACUUCUCGUGGUUGCAUGUUUUUUCACGGGUGGUUCUCCAUGUUUCAAUUAAUGCAUAGUAUUCUUGUAAAUAAGCAUAGAUAUAAGGAUGGUUAGGGACACUUGCCUUUCUUGAAAGAAAAGUUACUCUUACUGCUCUUCAGCUCUUGCUCUCUAGAAACUCUUAAUCUUCAAAGCUUUCAAACAACAAUCCUUCUACUUGAAGCAAUCAACGGCACAAGCAUACAAGCAAAGAAAUAAGUACAACUAAGAACAAUACACCAAAACAAAAGAAAAGCUUUAAAAGAGCGUACUAAAGGAUAGGGCUCAAUUCUAGGAUCACGGGAACGCAAGGAGCUAAGGUUGAAAAGGUACACCUAUCGAGAGAUUUAGAUUAUAAAAGAAAAGACAAGGGCUACAUGCUUCAUUUAUUUUAGUUGAGAAAACUAAUGUAAAGAUAUUUUAGAGAAAUACCUUUAGCUGGAAUUAAUCAAGUCAUAAUAACAUAUGAAAAGACGAUGUAAAGCUCAGUCCAUUUUUAUUUAUAAAUAUUGAAGUACAAUUUUAAGCAAAUUAAAUAUCUUAUUUUUAAAAGCAGCUUGUAAAAGCAUCUAAGCGUAUAACUUUAUGAUUCUGGUUGAACUAAUCAAAUAUAAUUAAAAACACAUUUAUAUUCAUAUUAGUCAAAUUAACAUUUAAUUAUGAAAACCUGAGACAUAACUUAUGUAGCUUUUAUUCAUAAAACAAAUUAAAUGAACAUUAAUCAAAUUAAGUUUAAUUUAUAAAAAGUCGAGGUAUACCUCUAAUUAGGUUUUAAUUGGAAGUGUUAUUUAAAUAAACAUUAACCAAAUUUAUAUUAUUUAUGAAAACGCGGGGUUGAACUCUAGUUAGAUUUUAAUUAGAAAAGCAAGUAUAUAAGUUCUUAAUCAUAUUAAUAUUUUGAACAAAGUACAAAAUAGAGAAUAUGAUCAAAAUUUCCUCUAAUGCAUAAUUUAAGAAAAUAUGAAUCUAACGCAACAAGAAUGAGGUUAAACGAAGGUAAAACAUGGAAUCUAUGAGCUAAACAAGCUGCAUGGGUCUAAUUGUGAUUAAUCAUAUACUUUAGGGGCUAGCAGAGAAGAAACUUUAGACUCAAUGAUUAGUUAGUGCGAAUAGAUGAAACCUUAGGGUUAGAUCGGCAAAAGGAUAGUACUAGGAUUCGAUUGCAAGGAUCUAUGGUUAUUCAGGUAUUUUCUGCCAAUUCGCCAAGAAAUAGAAGAUCUUGGGAGGAUCUAUAGAGGUCUUCAGGGGAGUGGAUGUAAAAGCUCAGGGAGCUUCCAUGGCCCACCGACAGAGCUUCUGGCUAUUCCAAUUGUCGGCGGCAUAGGGGCCUGGGGGUUCUGGCGGGUAGCGCAAAGGAAAGAGGAAGUGGAGGAGAGCUCGACUGUGUGCUCACUAGCGGCGGAGUCGAGUGGUAGUGGCCGAAAUAGAUGGAGAGCGGAGGAGGAGGCGGCCGGCUCGAGCUUCACUAGUCGGUGGUGCUUUAGUGACUUGACGAUGACGAGGAUCGGCGUCAAGGCUUGGGCUUCGCGCGGGGAUUCUCCUAGCGGCGAACAGGGGCAGCGAAUCGACGACGGAAGCUGGCAACGGUGCUCGGCUCGGUGCAGCUCCUCACAGUGGCGUGCGAUGUGAAGACGGAUGGGGUAGGGUGGCGGUGCGAGCGGUGCAGCAAGGGCUGCAGGGUGAGGGGCUUCGCCAUGUAUAGGGCUGCGCCCUAGCGUGCUUGGCAUGCACGUCGAGAGGUGGCGGUGUUGCCAUGGCCAGCCGAGGCCGAGUGGUGCCCGAUGGGCUUUGGCGAGCUGAAGCGGGUUGGGCCCAAGGCUCAGCCCGGUAGUAUAGGAUAGGUUAGAUUAUUUUCAGAAAUAAUUUCUCGUGAAAGGAAAAAUCUAGAUAAUUCCAUAAAGCCGCGAAAAAUACUCUAAAAGUUCCAAAAAUUCAAGAAAAAAAAUCCUAAAGAUAGUUUAGGACAUGAGGAGUCCAGAUAAACUACUUGGAGCUCAUGAAAAAUAUUGUAGAGAAUUCUAAUAAAUAGAUCUAGCUCUAGGAAAAUGAGAAUGAAUUCCAGAAAAAAUUGGAAAAUUCUCAAAAGAACCUAAUCGCAAUUUUUAACGCAUUUUAAAACCUUUUGCACUCAAGAAACACCAAGAUGCAUCAGCAUGAAUGCAACACACACAGAAGCAUUUUAUUUAAUUUGAAAAACAACUAAUUGUUUUGCCUAUACUACAUUUCCUGAAAAGUUGGAAAUUUUUUUAAAUUAUGAUAAAAUUAUUAUUUAAUUAUUUUUUUGAUUACAUCCUGAAAUAAAAAAAUUUCACGGUGUGACACAUUGUCUGGAGCAGUUGGUUCACCAUUUACGUGAUGAUGAUACGUCCUUCUAGCGUUUUCUUUCGGGCCUCUUUUCCGUUUAGGCCUGCUCGAUCCAGAUGGCUGAAAAUGAAAGAACUAUUAAUUCCCAAUAAUCUUGAUAAGUAUAGAAUUCAAAUCAUAUUUACGAAUACUAUUGUCUAUACCUCGCCUUGUUGCCCAUCAUCGCCUCUCUCGGCAAUUGGUUCCUCCUCAUUGCCAUCACCAUACAUGUUGAGGUAGAUGUCAGUCUGGCUGUGAUGGACCUCUUUGUUUAGUUGAUCUCGACCUCUUCGUUUGGUUGAUCAUUCAUGUGACCUUGAGCAAUCAAGUCCAUCAAUCAAGUCCAUUAGGUAUUCCUCAUCCAAUCAGUCAUGCUCGUCCUCUGAUCGUGCCAUUGUAACUAAUAUCAUAUAAAAAUUAUUAUUCUAAGAAAUAGUAGGAAUCAACAAUAAAAGAAUGACUAAAAAAAGAAUCAAACACUUGGUACAAUUUGUUACAACAAAUGACUACAAAUUUAUUUACAGUGAAUUGCAUAUCAUUUACAACUGUCAUCAAAUAUUUUCUAAAAUUUUAUGCAUAAUUAUUACAAAAAAUGACUACAAAAAUGAAUUACCAAUAGUUAUACAUUUUCUAACAAUAAAUGACUACAAAAAAGAAUGAAACACUUAGACAAUUUGUUACAUUUCUAAUAUUUUAUGCACAUUUCUAUAAUUUAUUGAACUAUUUGAUGAAUUUAUAAUAUAAAUGACAAUAAAAACAUUUACAAUGAAAAUUUCUAGAAGUAUCAAAUUAAUUUUCACUUUUUGUAGUCAUUUCGAAAAAUUAACAGGAUACAAGAAACAUGGCAUAAUCAAUGUUGUAGAAUUUAAAGUUAAUAGGCUUUUCCAAGAAUUUACUAUAUUUUCUAGCUAAUUCAAGAAAUUUUCUAUAUUUUCUUGCUAAUUCAAGAAUUUUUCUACAAUUUCUAGCUAUUUUCAUAUAUUUCAUAAAUAAAAAAGGAAAAAACAAAAAUUGAUGUCAGUAGAAAAGACAUGAAGCUCGUGGCCGGCUGUGUGGUACGGGCUCGGGGGAGGGGGUGGCAUCGUCGUCGGGGUAGAGGAGGCGGUCGUCGGGGAGGCGGAGGUGGUGUGCGAGGAGGGCUGUCGGUGGAGUGGCCCUAGGUGGCGGUAGGCGGUGGUGUCGGGGGAGUGGACGACGAUGAGGGCCGGCAGGGCAACUGAUGGGAUCGAGGGCCGAGGGCGGUGCGGCGUGUCAUUAGGGAAGGAGUCCGGUGUGGAAUACUGAUGACAGUGUGGUUGUGGAGGUGGCCGGGCGUUGUUGUCGGGGAGUAGUGGAGGGUUGGCGUGGUGUCUGGAGCGUGUGGGGUGCGCAACACCGGUCGGGGGCGGCGCGAUGGCGACGGGCACGCGCGGAGUGGGCCGGGGAGGAUGCCGGCAGGAAAGAGGAGGAGGGCCGCCAGCGGAGAGUAAUAGGGCGGUAGUGUUAUUUAGAAGAAUAGUGCCUAUAGUGUUAUUAACAUGUUUACCAUGACUUAAUCAUGUACUUGUUUAAUUGUACAUAAAUUUAUUAUUUAAUAUUUAAUGGUGCUAAAAGAAUCAAAAUAUUUAAUAUUUUAACCAUGCAAAAAUCAGUUCUUGUUUCAUAGGGUGAAAUUUUUGCAAAUAGUAUUGUUAAUAAACCCAUAGGAUACAUGUGUUAUUACAUUAAUUUGUUUCUUUGUUGAUAACCACAAAACAUAACAUAAUGGUUCCAAUACAUUACACGUCAUCAUCUAGCAGAAUCUUAAUAACCUUCCUUUUGACGGAUGUCCGUUGGUUGUGAUCAUGGCAUAAGUAUGGAGCGACCUCUUUGGCAUACGACAUGGUUGGGUCAACAUCGACUGAAAAUGGAGGAAGAUCUGAUCAUAAUCUUCUGAAAUGUCAAUCUUGUCCUCAUCUCCAAUGAUUUUUCUUUUCACUGGAAGAAUUAUGUGACUCUUUGGCUGGUCAUCUGACUUAUUAGCACCCUUCUUUAUUGGUUUGCUUGACAUGUACUUCACAUAGAAUGAAUGGUUCAUCUCUGUAUCCAAUGUUGUUGAGGUCCACUAUUAUCAUCCCAUAGUUGUCUAUCGUUACGUGUCCUCCAAUAAGCGUUACCCAUUGGCACCAAAACAGAGGGAUUUUCAAAGGUCCAUCGUCAUGUUCCCAUAUCUCCUCAAUCACACCAUAGUAUCUGUCAUUUUUUUUCAUUGUUGUCUACUGCAUCUAUACAGACACCACUAUUUUGGUUUGUGCUCCUUUGGUCUUGGGCUCUCAUGUAAAAUGUGUACACAUUUAUCUCGUAUCCUUGGAAUAUCGAUACUGAGAUAGAUGGACCCCUAGCCAACCAUGCUAGUUGUUCUUCAAUCGUGUCAUCACCGAUCAGUUGUCGCCGCAACCAAGAGACGAAAGUGUCAAUGUGAUGACGUGUAAUCCAAGCCUCAGUCUUCCCUUGGUUUGAGGACCGUACAAUAGUCUUGUGCUGCUCCAUAUAUGGAGCAAUCAGGGAUGAUUGUUAUAGGACCAUGAAGUGUGCUUUACUCCAUGUACUCU